GAAUACGACCUGACCUACCAGGUUACAUGGAUCUAGACAAGCCUGAGGAUCUAGGUGAUUCCUAAGGCAACAACUACAUCCAUCCGGUCGAGGAGGAGGACAGCUUGGGAGACGAGGAUUUCAGCGUCCUUGAAAACCCAAUUGAUCAAGAAGUAUUCAUGCGGGAACUCACAUCCAUUGCUCGGAGCCUUAGAUAAAGCAGAGGCAACUCAAAGUCGAACAAGACUCCAUCACCGAGAGAUGCACAAAAUUCCUGGGCGCCAAAGAGGGGUACGGACAAGAAUGACACGAACAAACUAAAAGGUAACCGCAUCGCCGCUUGUUGCCAGAAUUCGAAGAUGAGGCCUUGGAGCCCGCACAACCCAAGUUCGCACAAGACGAUCAACCAGACCGCCCUCCUCGAGGAUGGGAGAAAAGAAGGGAACUGUCCCAACUCAAAGACCCAUUUGACCUGUGAUAGAACAUUAUGUCUCGGACAAGACAACCAAGAUCCAUUUCUGGAUCUAGAAGCAACAAUCCUGCUUGCUAGGAUAGGUACCAAGCUCAGCCCAUUCAGAAUGAGGGAGUUCUGGAGCAACAACACGGUAGGAUCUCGUCUGAUCACCAACAUGAUACAGCUCGGAUAAGACGCGUCGCCCACCCAAUGUGCUUCAAAUAUGAGGUAAUGCGGCAUCAGUUCCCCGAAGGGUUAAAACCCAUAAAUAUCUAGCAGUAUGACGGGACAACAGACCAUGCCGUAUGGAUUGUAGAUUUAUUUCUCCGCAUUCACAUGGCUCGCGGAGAUGAUCUCCACACCAGCAAAUACCUACCAUUAAAUCUCAAAGGGCCAGCAAGGCACUGAUUGAAUAGCCUCCCGGAAAAUUCCAUUGAUAGUUCGAAGGAGCUCGAAGAUGCCUUUCGAGACAACUUUCAGGGCACUUAUGUCCAACUACCUGGGUCCGAUGACUUGAGCCACAUCAUUAAACAACCCGAUGAGUCAUCUCAGCAAUUCUAGAAUAGAUUGCUCACCAAGAAAAAUCAGAUUGUUGAUUAUUCGGACGUCGAAGUGUUAGCUUCCUUCCACAACAAUGAACGAGAAGAAUGGCUAGCUCAGUCGCUCGGAUAGCAGAGGUGAAGGACAAUUGCUUCCCUAACUUCUCUCAUGACCAGCCAUUGCAUAGGUGAGGAUACUUUGCUAGCCCGUAGAAACAACCCUCCCUCAAACCCUGACACUUCUACAGUUCAGGAUAGCAAUGGAAAGUCACGACGUAAUAAGAACAAGCGUCAACACGGCAGUGAUGAAGCCAAUGACAUGGUAGUCAAUGCCAAAUUCAGCAACUCUAGGUCCAGACCUAGAAAGAAGACUUCAAAAGGAAAUCAGGAUGGCCCGACCACGUUAGACAAAAUACUCGAAAUGCCCUGUUAGAUACACAGAACUCAAAACAAACCUGCUACUCACACCAAUCGUAAGUAUUGGGUUAUUAAAGCAGCGAGAAAGAGCGUGGUUGGAGACGAGACCAAGAGCCCAUGUAGCAAGGACGACGAGGAACCCCACCGCCCGGACAACGGAGGCCAGAAGUAGUUUCCCCCUAAAGUAAAAACCGUGAACAUGNNNNNNNNNNNNNNNNNNNNNNNNNNNNNNNNNNNNNNNNNNNNNNNNNNNNNNNNNNNNNNNNNNNNNNNNNNNNNNNNNNNNNNNNNNNNNNNNNNNNCGGGAUCUUGUAUUACACAACGAGUAAAGAGACUUGCCGGUAACGAGAUUGAACUAGGUACGGAGAUACCGACGAUCGAAUCUCAGGCAAGUAACAUACCGAUGAACAAAGGGAACUACAUACGAGAUUAACUNNNNNNNNNNGAGUAAAGAGACUUGCCGGUAACGAGAUUGAACUAGGUACGGAUAUACCGACGAUCGAAUCUCGGGCAAGUAACAUACCGAUGAACAAAGGGAACUACAUACGAGAUUAACUGAAACCUUGACAUGGAGGUUCGGCCGAUAAAUAUGUUGUAGAAUAUGUAGGAACCAAUAUGGACAUCCAGGUCCCGCUAUUGGUUAUUGACCGUAGAGGUGUCUCGGUCAUGUCUACAUAGUUCUCGAACCUGCAGGGUCUACACAAUUAACGUUUCGUGACGAUAUAAGCAUAAUCGAGUCAUUGUAUUGGUGACCGAAGGUUGUUUGGAGUCGCGGAUGAGAUCCCGGACUUGACGAGGAAUUCCGAAAUGGCCUAGAGGUGAAGAUUGAUAUAUAGGAUGAAGGGCAUCAGAGUUUGGAAGUGUUCCGGGGCACACGUGGGAAUCGAUGGAGUGCCGAAAGGAGUUUAGGGUAGGGGGAGUGUUGNNNNNNNNNNGAAUGGUCUAGAGGUGAAGAUUGAUAUAUAGGAUGAGGGGCAUCAGAGUCUGGAAGUGUUCUGGGGCACACCUGGGAAUCGAUGGAGUGCCGAAAGGAGUUUAGGGUAGGGGGAGUGUUGGCGGGGGAGCGCUCAUGGGCCAAGGAGAGGUGGCACCCCAGCCCACAAGGGGUUGGGUGCCGACCAAACCCCAACACACCUAGGCUAGGGGAGGGCCUCACCCCCUAGGGCCGCCGGCCAACCCAACUUGGGUGGCNNNNNNNNNNCAGUUAUUGUAUUGGUGACCGAAGGUUGUUUAGAGUCACGUAUGAGAUCUCGGACUUGACGAGGAAUUCCGGAAUGGUCUAGAGGUGAAUAUUGAUAUAUAGGAUGAAGGGCAUCAGAGUCUGGAAGUGUUCCGAGGCACACCUGGGAAUCGAUGGAGUGCCGAAAGGAGUUUAGGGCAGGGUGAGUGUUGGGAGGGGGGGGGGAGGGCUCAUGGGCCAAGGAGAGGUGGCACCCCAGCCCACAAGGGUUUGGGUGCCGACCAAACCCCAACACACCUAGGCUAAGGGAGGGCCUCACCCCCUAGGGCCGCCGGCCAACCCAACUUGGGUGGCAAGGCACCUAGGUGGGAGGGCCACCGAAACCUAGCUGCCACUCCCUUGGCCGCCGGACCCUAGGGGUAACCCUAGGGUGCCCUUCCCUCCUCCCUUUCCCCUAGAUAUAGAGAGGGAGAGAGAGGGNNNNNNNNNNNNNNNNNNNNNNNNNNNNNNNNNNNNNNNNNNNNNNNNNNNNNNNNNNNNNNNNNNNNNNNNNNNNNNNNNNNNNNNNNNNNNNNNNNNNGGCACCAGGAAUCCUUCAGCUGCGGCUACGCCUUAAGGGACUUCCUAGGCAAGUAUGCAAACGAUUUCCCCCGUGGCUUUGGAGCCUUGCGUUGGUGUUCCCUCGAAGCGGAAAGGGUGAUGUAGCACAGCGACGGUAAGUAUUUCCCUCCGUUUGACAACCGAGGUAUCAAUCCGGCGGAAGAGUAUCUCAAGGUCCUGCACAAACACAAAAGCUUGCACCCAACGCUAUGAAGGGGUUGUCAAUCCCUUAUAGAUUGUUUGCCAAGUGAGAACUGAAAGCAACAAAGUAACAAAGCAAAGUAAAAGCGGAGAUGUAAACGAUGGAUGUGAAUAGACCCGGGGGCCGUAGUGUUUACUAGUGGCUUCUCUCAUGAAAGCAACUACACGGUGGGUGAACAAAUUACUGUCGAGCAAUUGACAGAACUGUGCGGAGUCAUGAUGAUAUCUAUGCAAUGAUUGUUUCUAUAGGCAUCACGUCCGAAACAAGUAGACCGAUACUUUCUGCAUCUACUACUAUUACUCCACACAUCGACCGCUAUCCAGCAUGCAUCUAGUGUAUUAAGUCCAUAAGAACAGAGUAACGCCUUAAGCAAGAUGGCAUGAUGUAGAGGGAUAAUCUCAAACCAAUGAUAAAAACCCCAUCUUUUUACCCUUGAUGGCAACUGCUUGAUGUGUGCCUUACUGCCCCUACUGUCACUGGGAAAGGUCACCACAUGGGAGAACCCAAAACCAAGCACUUCUCCCAUUGCAAGAAUCAUAGAUCUAGUUAGCCAAACAAAACCCAAGACUCGGAGAGACUUACAAGGAUAUCAAAUCAUGCAUAAAAGAAAUCAGCAAAGACUCAAAUAUAUAUCAUAGAUAAUCUGAUCACAAGUCCACAAUUCAUCGGAUCUCGACAAACACAGUGCCAAAGAAGAUUACAUCGGAUAGAUCUCCAUGAAGAUCAUGGAGAACUUUGUAUUGAAGAUCCAAGAGAGAGAAGAAGCCAUCUAGCUACUAACUACGGACCCGUAGGUCUGAAGUGAACUACUCACGAGUCGUUGGAGGGGCGAUGAUGAUGAUGAAGAAGCCCUCCAACUCCAAAGUCCCCUCCGGGAGGGCGCCGGGAAGGGUCUCCAGAUGAGAUCUCACGGAAAUGGAAGCUUGCAGCGGCGGAAAAGUAUUUUCGAGGCUCCCCCGAUUUUUUGCGAAAUAUUUGGGAAUAUAUAGGCGCAAGAUCUAGGUCAGGGGGCGGCCAGGGUGGCCACAAGCUUGCCCACCGCCGCCUCCCCCCUGGUGGCGUGGUGGGAACUUGUGGGCUCCGUGGGGCCCACCUGGCUUGGCCCAAAGGCUCCCUGGUCUUCUUUCGUUUGGGAAAAAUCAUUUCAGGGUUUUUAUUCCGUUUGGACUCCGUUCCAAAAUCAGAUCUGAAAAGAGUCAAAAACACGGAAAAAACAGGAACUCACACUUGGCACUAAAUCAAUAAGUUAGUCCCAAAAAAGAUAUAAAAAGGUACAUAAAACAACCAAAGAAGACAAGAUAACAGCGUGAAACAAUCAAAAAUUAUAGAUACGUUUGAGACGUAUCAAGCAUCCCCAAGCUUAACUCCUGCUCGUCCUCGAGUAGGGAAGUGAUAAGAAUGAAUUUUUGAUGCUUUCAUGCUACCUAGCAUAGGUGUCCUUUGUAAUUCCUCUUAUGUGACGUGAAUGUUCAGAUCCAUUAGAUUCAAAACAAUAGUUUGCUAUUGACGUGGAAACAAUAAUAAUUCAAGCAAACUAGCAAGGUAAUCAUGAACUUUCAAAAUAACAAGGCCAAAAGAAAGUUAUCCCUACAAAAGCAUAUAGUCUGGCUAUGCUCUAUCAUCAUUGCACAACGAAUUUAAAUCAUGCACAACCCCGGUAUUGGCCAAGUAAUUGCUUCACACCUUUACUUUCUCAAACAUUUUCAACUCUCACGCAAUACAUGAGCGUGAGCCAUGGUUAUAGCACUAUAGAUGGUGUGGAAUGUGGUGGAGGUUGCAAGACAAAAAGGAAAAGAUAGUCACAUUAACUAGGCAUAUCAAUGAGCUGUGGAGAUGCUCAUCAAUAGCUAUCAAUGUGAGUGAGUAGGGAUUGCCAUACAAAUGAUGCACUAGAGCUACAAGUAUCUUAAAGAAAACUAGUGGGUGUGUAUCCAACUUGCUUGCUCACGAAGACCUAAGGCAAUUUUGAGGAAGCCUAUCAUUGGAAUAUACAAGCCAAGUUAUAUAAUGAGAAUUUCCCACUAGCUAUAUGGUGGUGACAAAACGAGAGACUCUCAAUCAUGAAGAUCAUGGUGCCCAAAUGCACAAGUGUGGAAAAAGUGGUAGCAUUGUCCCUUCUCUCUUUUUUCUCUCAUUUUUUUAAAUUUUGGUGGGCUCUUUGGCCUCUUUUUUUAUGGGCUUCUUUGGCCUCUUUUAUUUCCUCACAUGGGACAAUGCUCCAAUAAUGAUGAUCAUCACACUUUCAACUCAAAACUUAGAGUAAUUAUGACUCUAUAUGGAAUGCCUUCGGUAUUGUACCGUGGCAAUGAUCUAGCAUGGCAUAGACAUCAAUGGAAACAUCAUGCUAGCUAUCUUACGAUCAUGCAAAGGCAAUGUAGACGUGGUGGCACAUAUCAAGGUGGUAGUUGCAUGGCAAUAUAUCUCGGAAUGACUUUGAAGAAGCCAUAAUAGGUACGUAUGGUGGCUGUUUUGAGGGAGGCUAAUGGUGGGUUUUGUGCACCGGCGAAAGUUGCACGGCACUAAGAAGAUAGUGAUGGUGGAAGGUGAGAGUGCAUAUAAACCAUGGACUCAACAUUAGUCAUGAAGAACUCAUAUACUUGUUGCAAAAGUUUUAUUAGUAAUCGAAACAAAGCAUUCAACGCAUACUCCUAGGGGAAGGGUUGGUAGGUAUAAACCAUCGCGCGAUCCCGACCGCCACAAAAAGGAUGACAAUCAAUAUACUAAUCAUGCUCAUAUUUCAUCACAUAGCGGUUCACCACACGUGCAUGCUACGGGAAUCACUAACUUCAACACAAGUAUUUCUAGAUCCACAACACCUUACUAGCAUGACUUCAAUAUUACCAUAACCACAACUCAAAACUUAUUGAGAUGAGUCAAACUUCUCUAACUAUUCAAUGCACAUGAAGUUGGAAGUUUUCGUAUCCCUUUGGAUAACUACCCCUUUUGGGACUACUUUCAAAGCAUAGAUCAACUACCAAGCCACGCACCGCUGUGCUCUAAAAGAUAUAAGUGAAGCUCGACAAAAUCAUGGUGUGUGCAUGUCUCUCUCUCGAGGUGUGCAGCAAGGAUGAUUGUGACACAACAAAAAUAAAAGACUCCUAUGAUACAAGACGCUCCAAGCAAAAACACAUAACAUGUGGUGAAUAAAAAUAUAGCCCCAAUUAAUGUUAUCGAUGGAUUGAAGACGAGAGAGGGGAUGCCUUCCCGGGGCAUCCCCAAGCUAAGGAUUUUGCGGCAUCCUUGAAUCUCUUGGGGUGCCUUGGGCAUCCCCAAGCUUGAGAUCUUUCCACUCUUUAUCUUUUUGUCCAUAAGAACUUCACCCAAAACUUGAAAACUUCACAACACGAAACUUAAACAGAAACUCGUGAUAACAUUAGUACAAGAAAGCAAAUCACCACUUCCGUAGGUAAUGUAGAAAACUAAAAUUCUACUUGUGCUGAUGUUGGGUCACUAUACUUUCAAUCUUCCAUGGCUAAUACCCCCCGAUACUAUCCAUAGUUUCAUCAAAAUAUGCAACCAACACAACAAAAACAGAAUCUGUUAACAGCAGACCAGUCUGUAGCAAUCUGUAUGUUUCGUACACCUAUGUACUUCAAAAAUUCUGAAACAUUACGACAGUCUGAAGAAUUUGCGUAGAAAUUGGCAGAAAAAAGAAUAAACUCAAAAGAACUUACAGAAAAAAAAUGAAAAUUCUUUUCGUGAGCAGAAAGUUUUUGUCUUUUCCAGCAUGACCAAACGAUCAUCCUCAAGACUAAUCAUAACGGUUUUGCUUGGCACAAACGAAAAAAAACAAAAAGAACACAAUCAUAAAAGAACUAUGAAAGUUUGGAAAACACAAAACAGAAAGAAAAACGAUAGAUUCGUUGGGUUGCCUCCCAACAAGCGCUUUUGUUUAACGCCCUUAGCUAGGCGAAAGUGAUGGAAUCACGUAUAGUCAUCUUUGGUGCUCAAACCAUAGGUAGCCCUCAUCAUAGAUUCAUAAGGCAAUCUUAUUUUCUUUCUAGGAAAGUGCUCCAUGCCCUUCUUUAAGGGAAAUUGAAAUCCAAUAUUCCCUUCCUUCAUAUCGAUGAUAGCACCAAUAGUCCUUAGGAAAGGUCUACCAAGAAUAAUGGGACAUGAAGGAUUGCAAUCUAUGUCAAGUACAAUGAAAUCCACGGGUACAUAGUUCUUAUUUGCAACAAUAAGAACAUCAUCGAUCCUCCCCAUGGGCUUCUUGACGGUAGAAUCCGCAAGAUGCAAAUUAAGAGAACACUCUUCAAUCUCAUGAAAACCAAGAAUAUCACAUACCGACUUCGGAAUCGCGGAAACACUAGCACCCAAAUCACACAAAGCAUUGCAUUCAUAGUUUUUGAUCUUGAUUUUGAUAGUAGGUUCCCACUCAUCAUGAAGUUUUCUAGGUAUAGAGACUUCUAGUUCGAGCUUCUCUUCAAGAGAUUUCAUCAUAACAUCUACGGUAUGCGCGGUAAAGGCCUUACUUUGGCUAUAAGCAUGUGGAGAGUUUACAAUGGAUUGCAUCAAAGAAAUGCAUUCAAACAAGGAUAAAUUAUCAUAAUUGAAUUCCUUGAAAUUCAAAGUGGGAGUUUCAUUACUACCCAAAAUUUUGACUUCUUCUACUCCACUCUCCACACCUUUAUCAUCAAGAUAGGUGGACUCCGAAUCAUUGGGCGUUUUUCAACCAAAGUGGAUUCAUAUCCAGCCCCUCCAUAAGUAGGUUUGACACGCGAAAACAAAGAUUCAAGAGGAGACACACCAAGCACUUUAAGAUCUUUGUGAUUUGCAUCACUAGAACGCACCCUUUUAAACCAUUCAUGUCUAGCGCGAAUUUGGGCGGUUCUUUCUUUGCUCUCAUUCAUGGAGAUACACAUAGCUUUCAAAGUUUCAUCCAAGUUGAUCUUGGGAGGAGCGCAUCUAACUUACAAAGCAUCAAUAUCACAAGACAUCCUAUCAACGCUCUUAGCCAAAUCGUCUAUUUUGAGUAGUUUUUCCUCUAUGGACGCAUUGAAAAUAUUUUGAGAGUUGAUGAACUCUUUGAUAUUACUCUCUAGAUCAGAGGGUAAUUUGUUAUGAUUUCCAUAAGUGUUGCCAUAGGAAUUGCCAUAGUUGUUAGAGGAGUUACUAGGAAAAGGCCUAGGAACAUUGUUUCCUCUAAAAGCAUUGUUGUUGCCAAAAUUGUUCCUACCAACAAAAUUCACGUCCAAACUAGCGUUGCUACUCUCAAUCAAAGAAGAUAGUGGCAUGUUAUUAGGAUCUACGGUAGCGUUUCUACUAGCAACCCAAUUCAUCAAAUCGUCCAUCUUAGCACUAAGCGAGUUAAUUUCUUCUAUAGCAUGCACCUUUUUGCUAGCAGGCGGCCUUUUACCGUGCCACUGAGAGUAGUUGGUCUUGAUAUUGUCUAGGAGUUUUGUAGCGUCUCCUAACGUGAUUUCCAUGAACGUUCCACCUGAGGCGGAGUCCAAGAUAUUGCGAGAAGCGAAAUUCAAGCCAGCGUAAAGAUUUGUAUAAUCAUCCACAAACUCAAGCCAUGAGCAGGACAAUUUCUAAUCAUAAGCUUCAUCCUCUCCCAAGAUUGUGCAACGUGUUCAUGAUCAAGUUGCUUGAAAUUCAUGAUAUUGUUACUUAAGGAGAUGAUCUUAGCCGGCGGAAAAUACUUGGAUAUGUAAGCAUCUUUGCACCUAUCCCAAGAAUCGAUACUAUUUUUAGGCAAAGAAGAAAACCAAGUUUUUGCGCGAUCUCGCAACGAGAAAGGAAAAAGUUUCAACUUAAUCACGUCAUUAUGCACAUCUCUUUUCUUUUGCAUGUCACAAAUCUCAAUGAAGGUAUUGAGAUGGGAUGCGGCAUCUUCACUAUGAAGGCCAGAGAAUUGCUCUUUCAUAACAAGAUUCAGCAAAGCUGCGUUGAUUUCAUACGAUUCCGCACUAGUGGCGGGAGCAAUCGGAGUACUAAUAAAAUCAUUAUUAUUCGUGCUUGAGAAGUCGCAAAGUUUGGUGUUUUCAGACAUGAUGUCUUCAACAAACAAACAAGCAUACAAUCAAGCAAGAAACCGGCAAAGGAAAAUGGCAAGGGCAAGAGAAAAUGGAGAAGGAGAAAGGCGAAUGAAAACGGCAAAUGUGAAGUGGGGGAGAGGAAAACGAGAGGCAACUGGCAACAAAAGUAAAUGCAAGAGAAGAGUUUGUGAUACCUACUUGGAUAGAUCUUGAUUUCUCCUCCCCGACAACGGCGCAAGAAAUACUUCUGAUGUCAGCUGUGUAUCCCCGGCAACGGCGCCAGAAAUACUUCUGCUNNNNNNNNNNNNNNNNNNNNNNNNNNNNNNNNNNNNNNNNNNNNNNNNNNNNNNNNNNNNNNNNNNNNNNNNNNNNNNNNNNNNNNNNNNNNNNNNNNNNGGUUCGGGCCCGGGCGGGCUCCAGAUGGGCCUGGGCGGGCCCGCGGCGGCUGGAGGCGGAGGAGGGGGUUGGCUGCGCUAGGGUUAGGGGGUUGGUGGCGCGGAUCCCGAGGCAGAGGAGGGGGCUGUCUAAAUUAUAGGAGGGAUCUAUAUAUAGACAAAUGGGGGCUAGGGUUAUCCGGAAUUUCGUUCUGGAUCCAACCGUGCGGUCGGAUUCGGACGAUUCCGAACGCGUGAACGCUUACGGGGUCGUGUAGAGGGAAUAUCCGGGGACGAGAGGGGGAAAUGGCGGCGCGACAACGAAUUUUAAAACACCGACAUACGUCCGACGAAUAACCGAAGACGGUGCCGCUACGGUCGACCGUUCGGNNNNNNNNNNNNNNNNNNNNNNNNNNNNNNNNNNNNNNNNNNNNNNNNNNNNNNNNNNNNNNNNNNNNNNNNNNNNNNNNNNNNNNNNNNNNNNNNNNNNNNNNNNNNNNNNNNNNNNNNNNNNNNNNNNNNNNNNNNNNNNNNNNNNNNNNNNNNNNNNNNNNNNNNNNNNNNNNNNNNNNNNNNCGCAAACUUUAAAAGCAGGGUUUCGACGAUGCCGCGGGCGCGUGCGUGUGCGGACGGGCUCAUAACAAACAACGACGCGAUCCGGCAACUAACAACGGAUGCAAGUUUUGAAAACUGGCGGCNNNNNNNNNNNNNNNNNNNNNNNNNNNNNNNNNNNNNNNNNNNNNNNNNNNNNNNNNNNNNNNNNNNNNNNNNNNNNNNNNNNNNNNNNNNNNNNNNNNNNNNNNNNNNNNNNNNNNNNNNNNNNNNNNNNNNNNNNNNNNNNNNNNNNNNNNNNNNNNNNNNNNNNNNGAAUCUUCUGGAACGUCGGCAUCGGGCAGUCACACCGGUCCCCCGAGUUGCAGAAGUUCGAGCAUGCGAGUGGCCAAGCGAUGUGUUCUUAUGCACCAUCGGACUUUAUGAGGACUUUUACUACUUGGUGGAGAGCGCAGGCCUUACCGCCUUCGUUGAAGAUAAGUGUCCGCAAUACCUCCUCCUCACUAAUAUUUUCNNNNNNNNNNNNNNNNNNNNNNNNNNNNNNNNNNNNNNNNNNNNNNNNNNNNNNNNNNNNNNNNNNNNNNNNNNNNNNNNNNNNNNNNNNNNNNNNNNNNAGGAAAUAUAUAACUUUGCGCAAGUUGAAGAAGAGAGUCUCCCACAAGCUUGGGGGAGGCUUGUCCAGCUACAGAAUGCUUUGCCCGAUCACCCUCUUGAGAAGAAUGAAAUACUUGAUAUCUUCUAUAAUGGACUAACCGAUGCUUCUAAGGACCACCUAGAUAGUUGUGCUCGUUGUGUUUUCAGGGAACGAACUGUAGAACAAGCUGAGAUCCUAUUGAAUAAUAUCUUGUGCAAUGAGAAUGCUUGGACUAUUCCGGAACCACCUCCGAAGCCAACUCCGAAGAAAAGAGGUAUCCUAUUCCUCAGUCCUAAAGAUAUGCAAGAAGCUAAGAAAUCUAUGAAAGAGAAAGGCAUUAAAUCGGAAGAUGUCAAAAAUCUACCACCUAUCGAAGAGAUCCAUGGUCUUGAUAACCCGACACAGGUAGUAGAGGUAAAUUCUCUUCGUAGAUUCAAUGAGAGUGAUAUAACUUUUGAUAAACCUGCUAGCUUAUGCUUAGAUGAAUUUGAUAACUUUGUUGCCAAACAACAAAGUUUCAAUGAUUAUGUUAGCAGACAAUUGGAACAAAAUGCUCGUAUGCUUAGUCAUUUAAGUGCUUGUGUGGACAGAAACGUCAAUGACCUUAAGCUCUUGAGUAAACAUGCCUCUAUGCUUAAUACUCAAGUAGAACAAGUACUUAAGGCCCAAAAUGACUUGCUAAAUGAGUUGAAUGACAAUUCUGUCAGAGUCGUCACUAGAGGCGGUAGAAUGACCCAGGAACCUUUGUAUCAUGAGGGUCAUCCUAAAAGAAUUGAACCAGAUUCUCAAGGAGUUAGCACCGAGGCACCUAGUCAUCCUAGAAAGAANNNNNNNNNNGAAAGAUGAUAGGAACCUGCAGGCUAGCCACCCUGUUGCUGUUACACCCGAGAAUCCAAACGAUGUCUCUGUUUCUGAUGCCGAAACAUAAUCUUGUGAUGAACACGAGCCUAAUGAUAAGAUCGAUAGUAAUGUUCAUGUUGAUGCUCAACCUAGCAAUGAUAAGAAUGUGGAGAUUGAACCUGUUGAUCUUGAUAACCCACAGUCUAAGAAUAGGAGAUACGAUAAGAACGACUUCAUUGCUAGGAAGCACGGUAAAGAAAGGGAACCAUGGGUUCAGAAACCCAUGCCCUUUCCUCCCAAACCAUCCAAGAAAAAGGAUGAUGAGGAUUUUGAGCGAUUUGUUGAAAUGAUUAGUGUUGGAAUUAUUCCCUAGAGGCAAUGAUAAAAAAGUUAUUAUUAUAAUUCCUAUGUCAAGAUAAUCGUUUAUUAUCCAUGCUAUACUUGUAUUGAAUGAAGACUUAGAUACAUGUGUGGAUACAUAGACAAAACACUAUCCUUAGCAAGCCUCUAGUUGGCUAGCCAGUUGAUCAAGGAUAGUCAGGGUCUUCUGACUAUGUACAAGGUGUUGUUGCUUGAUAACUGGAUGACGUCAUUGGGAGAAUCAUGUGAUGGACUAGACCCAAACUAAUAGACGUAGCAUGUUGAUCGUGUCAUUUUGUUGCUACUGUUUUCUGCGUGUCAAGUAUUUAUUCCUAUGACCAUGAGAUCAUAUAACUCACUGACACCGGAGGAAUACUUUGUGUGUAUCAAACGUCACAACGUAACUGGGUGGUUAUAAAGAUGCUCUACAGUUAUCCCCGAAGGUGUCCGUUGAGUUAGUAUGGAUCUAGACUGGGAUUUGUCACUCCGUGUGACGGAGAGGUAUCUCGGGGCCCACUCGGUAAUACAACAUCACACACAAUCCUUGCAAGCAAUGUGACUUAGUGUAAGUUACGGGAUCUUGUAUUACGGAACGAGUAAAGAGACUUGCCGGUAAAGGAGAUUGAAAUAGGUAUGCAGAUACUGACGAUCGAAUCUCGGGCAAGUAACAUACCGAAGGGCAAAGGGAGUAACAUACGGGAUUAUAUGAAUCCUUGGCACUGAGGUUAAAGCAUAAGAUCUUCGUAGAAUAUGUAGGAUCCAAUAUGGGCAUCGAGGUCUCGCUAUUGGAUACUGACCGAGGAGUCCCUCGGGUCAUGUCUACAUAGUUCUCGAACCCGCAGGGUCUGCACACUUAAGGUUUGACGUUGUUUUAUGCGUAUUUGAGUUACAUGGUUGCUUAACGAAUGUUGUUCGGAGUCCCGGAUGAGAUUAUGGACGUCACGAGGGUUUCCGGAAUGGUCCGGAGACGAAGAUUGCUAUAUAGGAUGACCUCAUUUGAUUACCGGAAGGUUUUCGGAGUUACCCGGAAUGUACCUGGAAUGACGAAUGGGUUUCGGAUGUUCACCGGGGGGGGGGGNNNNNNNNNNNNNNNNNNNNNNNNNNNNNNNNNNNNNNNNNNNNNNNNNNNNNNNNNNNNNNNNNNNNNNNNNNNNNNNNNNNNNNNNNNNNNNNNNNNNNNNNNNNNNNNNNNNCCGCACCAGCUCUUAGUGGGCCGGUGGGCAAGCCCAAAGAGGCCCCUGCGCAGGGAGAUAAUAAAAUCAAAGAGAAAAAAUGGGAAGUGGGAAGGAAGGGAAGGACUCCACCUUCCAAUCCUAGUUGGACUAGGAUUGGAGGAGGACUCCUCCUCCCCCCCUUCGGCCGAACCCCUUGGGGCUCCUUGAGCCCCAAGGCAAGGCCCCUCCCCUCCCACCUAUAUAUACGGAGGUUUUAGGGCUGAUUUGNNNNNNNNNNCUUUUCCACGGCAGCCCGACCACAUACCUAGACGGUUUUUCCUCUAGAUCGCGUUUCUGCGGAGGUCGGGCGGAGCCCUGCUGAGAUUAUAUCACCACCAACCUCCGGAGUGCCGUCACGCUGCUGGAGAACUCAUCUACCUCUCCGUCUCUCUUGCUGGGUCAAGAAGGCCGAGAUCAUCGUCGAGCUGUACGUGUGCUGAAUGCGGAGGUGCCGUCCGUUCGGCACUAGAUCGGAGUGGAUCGUGGGAUGGAUCGCGGGACGGUUCGUGGGACGGUUCGCGGGGCGGAUCGAGGGAUGUGAGGAUGUUCCACUACAUCAACCGCGUUUAUUAACGCUUCUACUGUGCGAUCUACAAGGGUACGUAGAUCUGAAAUCCCCCUCGUAGAUGGACAUCACCAUGAUAGGUCUUCGUGCGCGUAGAAUUUUUUUUGUUUCCCAUGCGACGUUCCCCAACAGUGGCAUCAUGAGCUAGGUUCAUGCGUAGAUGUCAUCUCGAGUAGAACACAAAAGUUUUUGUGGGCAGUGAUGUGCGAUUUGCUGCCCUCCUUAGUCUUUUCUUGAUUCCGCGGUAUUGUUGGAUGGAAGCGGCUCGGACCGACAUUACUCGUACGCUUACGAGAGACUAGUUUCAUCGCUACGAGCAACUCCGUUGCUCAUAGAUGACUGGCGAGUGUCGGUUUCUCCAACUUUAGUUGUAUCGGAUUUGACUGAGGAGGUCCUUGGAUGAGGUUAAAUAACAAUUCAUAUAUCUCCGUUGUGGUGUUUGCGUAAGUAAGAUGCGAUCCUACUAGAUACCCAUGGUCACCACGUAAAACAUGCAACAACUAUUAGAGGACGUCUAACUUGUUUUUGCAGGGUAUGCUUGUGAUGUGAUAUGGCCAACGAUGUGAUGUGAUAUAUUGGAUGUAUGAGAUGAUCAUGUUGUAAUAGUUAAUAUCGACUUGCACGUCGAUGGUACGGCUACCGACAGGAGCCAUAGGGUUGUCUUUAAACUAACGUUUGUGCUUGCAGAUGCGGUUACUAUAUUGCUAGGAUGUAACUUUAGUAGUAAUAGCAUGAGUAGCACGACAACGCCGAUGGCGACACGUUGAUGGAGAUCAUGGUGUGGCGCCGGUGGCAAAGAAGAUCGUGCCGGUGCUUUGGUGAUGGAGAUCAAGAAGCACGUGAUGAUGGCCAUAUCAUGUCACUUAUGAAUUGCAUGUGAUGUUAAUCNNNNNNNNNNNNNNNNNNNNNNNNNNNNNNNNNNNNNNNNNNNNNNNNNNNNNNNNNNNNNNNNNNNNNNNNNNNNNNNNNNNNNNNNNNNNNNNNNNNNUCACUUCAUCAUAUAUCGUCAUUAUUGCCUUUCACUUGCACGACCGAACGAUGUGAACAAUAAUAGGAGUGCUCGUGCAUUGGACUAAGCUGGAAUCUUCAAGCAAACACAAAGGAGAAGACAAAGUAAUAUGGCUCUUUGACAGAUAAACAAAUAUGCAUGCGAGAGCCACUAAACAUUGUAACCAUGGUCUUCUGCUUUGACCCAAAUAAAAAGAAAACUAUUUACACGGGAAAGCUCCCAACAAGUAAAAGAAGAACGGGAAAUAUUUUUGGGUUUUCUCAAACUAGACAAACACACAAGAAGAAAGCGAGAAAAAUAAAUAAACUAGCAUGGAUGAUACAGUGGUAAAGUGUGAACACCGACUAUCAAAGUGAAAGUGUGAACAUGAAUAUAAAGUCGGUGAGAAACACGUACUCCCCCAAGCUUAGGCUUUUGGCCUAAGUUGGUCUACUACCAAGGAGGGAAAUAACCGUCUCCGGGGUACUCCGGAGUGUACUGAGGGUGCCAGUGCUGUGUGAGCUCCUCUGGCUCCCACUAAUAAACUGGUGUCUGGUACUCGAGUGGUAGCUCGGGCACGGGAGCCUGUGGUGGUGCUAUGCCCCAAUAUGCGUAGAUGUCCGAGGGCAUAAUAAUGUACCUGCCUAGAUGAAGAUUGAACAAAGAAGGAGUAGGCAAAGUAAUAGUCUCACGAGUACCCUGACAAAAUACCAGGUUCUAAAUCAUCCUCUUAUUUAUAUCUUUAUCAAGAAAGUCAUGGCGAACCAUGCUAUCAUAAUCUAGAUAUCUCUCAGGAAGAAGAAUCUCUUCUUCCUCGUGCAGUCUAAUAGGUAUCUCANNNNNNNNNNCGAUACCUCCAUAAACAACGCCUUUAGAACGGUUCGUGUUCAACCGUUGAGCUACUAUAGCGCCCAAGCUAUACGCUUUAUCAUUAUAAAGGGCUUCGCGCAAAACCUCAAGAUCUGGGGAGCUAAGGGCCCCAGCUUUCCCACGGCCAAUCAAACAUUUUCCCAGAAAUAAUGAGAAGUACCGAAGCACGGGAAAAUGUAUGCUAGCAGCUCUAGCGCAAGACACUCCUCUUUCCUCUCCUACAGCAAUAGUAUCUAUGAAAGCCUCCAAGUCCCAUGGACGAGGUUCAUGAAUAUCCCCAACGUAAGGUAAUUUGCAAACAUUGCAAAAAUCCUGAAGUGACAUGCGUUGGGGGAUAUCAUAUAACUUGAACUCAACCAUAGAAGGAUUCUUCCUUGGAUAGAAGUUAAAGCUUUGCACGAAAAUAUUAGUGAGGAGGAGGUAUUGCUGACACUUAUCUUCAACGAAGGCGGUAAGGCAUGCGUUCUCCACCAAGUAGUAAAAGUCCUCAUAAAGUCCGGCGGCGCGUAAGAACACAUCGCUUGGCCACUCGCACGCUCGAACUUCUGCAACUCGGGGGACCGGAUACUUGGGUUUCUUCUUCUCAUUUUCAUCAUCCUUGGGGUCACGGCUUGAAGAGCCUCUUAAGAACCUCCUCAUAUUUUCUUUUUCUUUCUCUGAAAAUUUCGGAAAUUUUCGUAACUCUAAGGAAAAGUGAACAAGGCCCAACGAAACUCGUAGCAACUACUCCAUCAAGUGCUUAGAGGCCAUAUCACACAUCAAAAUUACUUGGGACCAGCUAAAAUUGGCAUGCAAAGCUCAAGAACAGGGUCACCAAGGUAGCAAAAAUACGCAACAACUAAGGCACUAGAGCAGAAGCUAAUUAGACCAAUGGAGGAGUCACAUACCAUGGAGCAAUUUCCCCAAAACAGUUUGGUGAAUGGGGCUUGGCACAAGGAGAUCGAAAAUCGCAGCAAGAAGAGCAAGAACACGGGUUUGAGCUGCGGGAUGAUUUUUUUUCUGGAGGUAGGAGAAGGAGAUGGGCGCUGGAAUAAGUGGAGGGGGGACACGUGGGCCCCACAAGCCUGCUAGAUGCGGCCAGGGGGUGCCCGCGCCUCCAGGGCUUUGUGGCCCACUGGUGCAUCCCCCUGACUAGCACUCCAUCUCAGAAUUUUCCAAAAAUUCCAGAAAAAAUCAUACUUGAUUUUCACGGCAUUCGGAGAACUUUUAUUUUCGGGACAUUUUUCUACGGGACGCAAAAAGCAGAAAACAGGAAAAACUAAAGCUAAAUCUAUCAUUUUUCUUCUAAGCAGCCAAAGGUAAAGGUUUAGAACAGAGGGAUGUAACUCUUAGAUUCAUCCAUCAUGGUCAUCAAAAGAAAUCUGUCAAUGAGGUUGAUCAAGUCUCCUUGACAAACUUUUUUCGAAUCGCGUAAAAACGGAGAAUUUUCGAAUAGUCACUAGGUUAACUCAAUGGGGAUGUGCAUAUCCCCAACAAGCAAAUCAUACUUCAUCUUAAUAGUAGGUAUAGGGCAUUCAAAGCUCCCAAUAAGAAUCGACGAAGUUUUUUCAAUAGCAUUAAUGCAAUGUACUCGAUAUUGUUUCUUUGGAAAGUGCACCAUAUGCUCAUUACCACUGACGUGGAAAGUGACAUUGGCUUUGUUGCAAUCAACAACAUACCCUGCAGUGUUUAAAAAGGGUCUUCCAAGGAUGACCGCCAUGGCAUCAUCCUCGGGAAUAUCCAGAAUAACAAAGUCUGUUAAGAUAGUAACGUUAGCAACCACAACAGGCACAUCCUCGCAAAUGCCGAUAGGGAAAGCAGUUGAUUUGUCAGCUAUGUGCAGAGAGAUUUCAGUGGGUGUCAACUUAACCGGUUCAAGCCUAUGAUAAAGAGAGAGAGGCAUAACACUAACACCGGCUCCAAGGUCGCAUAAAGCAGUUCUAACAUAGUUUCCUUUAAUGGAGCAAGGUAUAGUGGGCACUCCGGGACCACCUAGUUUCUUAGGAUUCCACCCUUGAAGGUAUAAUUAGCGAGCAUGGUGGAAAUCUCAACCUNNNNNNNNNNUAGUUCUAACGUAGUUUCCUUUAAUGGAGCAAGGUAUAGUGGGCACUGCGGGAUCACCUAGUUUCUUAGGAGUUCCACCCUUGAAGGUAUAAUUAGCGAUCAUGGUGGAAAUCUCAACCUCAGGUAUCCUCCUCUUAUUAGUCACAAUAUCCUUCAUGUACUUAGCAUACGGAGACAUUUUGAGCAUAUCUGUCAAACGCAUUUGCAGAAAGACACGUCUAAUUGUUGGGGAACGUCGCAUGGGAAACAAAAAAUUUCCUACGCGCACGAAGACCUAUCAUGGUGAUGUCCAUCUACGAGGGGGAUNNNNNNNNNNNNNNNNNNNNNNNNNNNNNNNNNNNNNNNNNNNNNNNNNNNNNNNNNNNNNNNNNNNNNNNNNNNNNNNNNNNNNNNNNNNNNNNNNNNNGGUACAUUCCUGGUAACUCCGAAAACCUUCCGGUAAUCAAAUGAGGUCAUCCUAUAUAUCAAUCUUCGUCUCCGAACCAUUCCGGAAACCCUUGUGACGUCUGUGAUCUCAUUCGGGACUCCGAACAACAUUCGGUAACCAACCAUAUAACUCAAAUACGCAUAAAACAACGUCGAACCUUAAGUGUGCAGACCAUGGGGGUUCCAGAACUAUGUAGACAUGACCCGAGGGACUCCUCGGUCAAUAUCCAAUAGUGGGACCUGGAUGCCCAUUUUGGAUCCUACAUAUUCUACGAAGAUCUUAUCGUUUGAACCUCAGUGCCAAGGAUUCAUAUAAUCCCGUAUGUCAUUCCCUAUGUCCUUCGAUAUGUUACUUGCCCGAGAUUCGAUCGUCAGUAUCCGCAUACCUAUUUCAAUCUCGUUUACCAGCAAGUCUCUUUACUCGUUCCGUAAGACAAGAUCCCGUAACUUACACUAAGUCAAAUUUCUUGCAAGGCUUGUGUGUGAUGUUGUAUUACCGAGUGGGCCCCGAGAUACCUCUCCGUCACACGGAGUGACAAAUCCCAGUCUAGAUCCAUACUAACUCAACGGACACCUUUGGAGAUACCUGUAGAGCAUCUUUAUAGCCACCCAGUUAUGUUGUGACGUUUGAUACACACAAAUAUUCCUCCGAUGUCAGUGAGUUAUAUGAUCUCAUGUUCACAGGAAUAAAUACUUGACACGCAGAAAACAGUAGCAACAAAAUGACACGAUCAACAUGCUACGUCUAUUAGUUUGGGUCUAGUCCAUCACAUGAUUCUCCCAAUGACGUCAUCCAGUUAUCAAGCAACAACACCUUGUACAUAGUCAGAAGACCCUGACUAUCCUUGAUCAACUGGCUAGCCAACUAGGGGCUUGCUAGGGACAGUGUUUUGUCUAUGUAUCCACACAUGCAUCUAAGUCUUCAUUCAAUAAAAUUAUAGCAUGGAUAAUAAACGAUUAUUUUGAUACAGGAAUUAUAAUAAUAACUUAUUUAUCAUUGCCUCUAGGGCAUAAUUCCAACAGUCUUCCACUUGCACUAGAGUCAAUAAUCUAGCCCUCACAUCACCAUGCGAAUUACAUUGUAAUAAAUCUAACACCCAUACAGUUCUGGUGUUGAUCAUGCUUUGCCCGUGGAAGAGGUUUAGUCAGCGGGUCUGCUACAUUCAGAUCCGUGUGCACUUUGCAUAUAUUUACGUCCACCCCUUCGACGUAGUCGCGGAUGAGGUUGAAGCGUCGUUUGAUGUGCCUGGUCUUCUUGUGAAAUCGUGGUUCCUUUGCUAAGGCAAUGUCACUCGUGUUGUCACAAAACAAGGUUAUUGGAUUCAGUGCGCUUGGCACCACUCCAAGAUCCGUCAUGAACUGCUUCAUCCAGACACCCUCCUUAGCCGCCUCCGAGGCAGCCAUGUACUCUGCUUCACAUGUAGAAUUAGCUACGACGCUUUUCUUGGAACUGCACCAGCUUACCGCACCCCCAUUAAGAAUAAAUAUGUAUCCAGUCUGCGACUUAGAGUCGCCCGGAUCUGUGUCAAAGCUUGCAUCGACGUAACCUUUUACGGCGAGCUCUUUGUCACCUCCAUACACGAGAAACAUCUCCAUAGUCCUUUUCAGGUACUUCAGGAUAUUCUUCACCGCCGUCCAGUGAUCCACUCCUGGAUUACUCUGGACCCUGCCUGCCAUACUUAUGGCUAGGCUAACGUCCGGUCUAGUGCACAGCAUUGCAUACAUGAUAGAACCAAUGGCUGAAGCAUAGGGGACGGUGCUCAUAUGCUCUCUAUCUUUAUCAGUUGUUGGGCACUGAGUCUUACUCAAUCUCGUACCUUGUAAAACUGGCAAGAACCCCUUCUUGGACUGUUCCAUUUUGAACCUCUUCAAAACUUUAUCAAGGUAUGUACUUUGUGAAAGUCCUAUCACGCGUUUCGAUCUAUCCCUAUAGAUCUUAAUGCCUAGAAUGUAAGCAGCUUCUCCUAGGUCCUUCAUAGAGAAACUUUUAUUCAAGUAAUCCUUUAUGCUCUCCAAAAACUCCACGUUGUUUCCAAUCAGCAAUAUGUCAUCCACAUAUAAUAUUAGAAACGCCACAGAGCUCCCACUCACUUUCUUGUAAACACAAGAUUCUCCAACCACUUGUAUAAACCCAAAUGCUUUGAUCACCUCAUCAAAGCGUUUAUUCCAACUCCGAGAUGCUUGCACCAGUCCAUAAAUGGAUCGUUGGAGCUUGCACACUUUGUUAGCAUUUUUAGGAUCCACAAUACCUUCGGGUUGCAUCAUAUACAACUCUUCCUUAAGGAAACCAUUAAGGAACGCCGUUUUGACAUCCAUCUGCCAGAUUUCAUAAUCGAAAAAUGCACCUAUUGCUAACAUGAUUCUGACGGACUUAAUCAUCACUACGGGUGAGAACGUCUCAUCAUAGUGAACUCCUUGAACUUGUGAAAAACCCUUUUCCACAAGUGGAGCUUUAUAAACGGUCACAUUACCGUCAGCGUCCGUCUUCUUCUUAAAGAUCCAUUUGUUCUGAAUAGCCUUGCGGCCCUCAGGUAGUACUUCCAAAGUCCACACUUUGUUUUCAUACAUGGAUCCUAUCUCGGACUUCAUGGCCUCUAGCCAUUUGUUGGAAUCCGGGACCACCAUUGCUUCUUCAUAAUUCGCAGGCUCAUUGUUGUCUAACAACAUAAUCGAUAAGACGAGAUUACCUCUCUGGAGUAGUACGCGGUCUCGUCGACCUGCAAGGUCCGAUAGGAACUUGAUCUGGAGUUUCAUGAUCAUCAUCAUUAACUUCCUCCUCAACCGGCGUCACAACAACAGGGGAUUCCCCUUGCCCUGCGCCACCAUCCAGAGGGAUGAGAGGUUCGACAACCUCAUCAAGUUCUAUCUUCCUCCCACUCAAUUCUCGAGAGAGAAACUCCUUCUCGAGAAAAGCUCCAUUCUUAGCAACAAACACUUUGCCCUCGGAUUUGAGAUACAAGGUAUACCCAACUAUCUCUUUUGGGUAACCUAUGAAGAUGCACUUUUCCGCUUUGGGUUCCAGCUUUUCAGGCUGAAGCUUUUUGACAUAAGCAUCACAUCCCCAAACUUUAAGAAACGACAACUUUGGUCUUUUGCCAUACCACAGUUCGUAUGGUGUCGUCUCAACGGAUUUUGAUGGUGCCCUAUUUAAAGUGAAUGCAGCUGUUUCUAAUGCAUAACCCCAAAACGAUAACAGCAAAUUGGUAAGAGACAUCAUAGAUCGCACCAUAUCUAAUAAAGUACGAUUACGACGUUUGGACACACCAUUACGCUGUGGUGUUCCAGGCGGUGUCAACUGUGAAACAAUUCCACAUUGUCUUAAGUGACCACCAAACUCGAAACUCAGAUAUUCACCCCCACGAUCAGAACGUAGGAAUUUGAUCUUCUUGUUACGAUGAUUUUCAACUUCACUCUGAAAUUGCUUGAACUUUUUAAAUGUUUCAGACUUGUACUUCAUCAAGUAGACAUAACCAUAUCUACUCAAAUCAUCAGUGAAGGUGAGAAAAUAACGAUAUCCGCCGCGUGCCUCCACGCUCAUCGGACCACACACAUUGGUAUGUAUGAUUUCCAACAAGUCACUUGCACGCUCCAUUGUUCUGGAGAACGGAGUUUUAGUCAUCUUGCCCAUGAGGCAUGGUUCGCACGUGUCAAGUGAAUCAAAGUCAAGUGACUCCAAAAGUCCAUCGAUAUGGAGUUUCUUCAUGCGCUUUACACCAAUAUGACCUAAGCGGAAAUGCCAUAAAAACAUGGCGCUAUCAUUGUUAAGUCUAACUCUUUUGGUCUCAAUGUUAUGUAUAUGUGUAUUAUCAUUAUCAAGAUUCAAUAUGAACAAUCCUCUCACAUUGGGUGCAUGACCAUAAAAGAUAUUACUCAUAGAAAUAGAACAACCAUUAUUCUUUGACUUAAACGAGUAACCGUCUCGCAAUAAACAAGAUCCAGAUAUAAUGUUCAUGCUUAACGCAGGCACUAAAUAACAACUAUUUAAGUUCAUAACUAAUCCUGAUGGUAACUGAAGUGAAACUGUGUCGACGGCGAUUGCAUCAACCUUGGAACCAUUUCCCACGCGCAUCGUCACUUCAUCCUUGGCCAGCCUUCGCGUAUUCCGCAGUUCCUCUUUCGAGUUGCAAAUAUGAGCAACAUAACCGGUAUCGAAUACCCGGGCACUACUACGAGAGCUGGUUAAGUACACAUCAAUAACAUGUAUAUCAAAUAUACCUGAUUUUUCUUUGGCCACCUUCUUAUCAGCCAUAUACUUGGGGCAGUUGCACUUCCAGUGACCCAUACCCUUGCAAUAAUAGCACUCCGUUUCAGGCUUAGGUCCAUCUUUGGGUUUCUUCGUCAGAUUGGCAACACGCUUGCCGCUCUUCUUUGAAUUACCCUUCUUUCCUUUGCCGUUUCUCUUGAAACUAGUGGUCUUAUUCACCAUCAACACUUGAUGCUCUUUACGGAGUUCUAACUCUGCGAAUUUUAGCAUCGCGAACAACUCGCCGGGUGAAUUGUUCAUCCCUUGCAUGUUGUAGUUCAACACAAAGCCCUUAUAGGUUGGCGGCAGUGAUUGAACAAUUCUGUCAGUGAUAGCCUCUUGCGGGAGUUCUAUCCCCAGCUCAGCUAGACGGUUUGAGUACCCAAACAUUUUGAGCACAUGUUCACUGACAGACGAAUUCUCCUCCAUCUUGCAAGCAUAGAAUUUAUCGGAGGUCUCAUACCUCUCGAUUCGGGCGUUCUUCUGAAAGAUAAACUUCAACUCCUGUAACAUCUCAUAUGCUCCAUGACGCUAAAAGCGACGUUGAAGUCCCGGCUCUAAGCCAUACAAGACUGCACAUUGAACUACUGAGUAGUCCUCCUUACGUGUUAACCAAGCGUUCUUAACAUCUUGGUCAGCCGUAGCGGGUGGUUCAUAUCCUAGCGCAANNNNNNNNNNNNNNNNNNNNNNNNNNNNNNNNNNNNNNNNNNNNNNNNNNNNNNNNNNNNNNNNNNNNNNNNNNNNNNNNNNNNNNNNNNNNNNNNNNNNUAAAAUAACACCGCACGUCAAAUCUCACCCCAAACGGAGAAAGUAUUAUGCAAACUUUAAAAGUAGGGUUUCGACGAUGCCGCGGGCGCGUGCGUGUGCGGUCGGGCUCAGAACAGACAACAACGCGAUCCGGCAACUAACAACGGAUGCAAGUUUUGAAAACUGGCGGCAACGGAGAUGCCUAUGCAAUGCAGAUGAUGCACAUGACGCGAUGAUGAUGCGACAAAAGAAAAAUAGACACACGACGAAAACGGAAUGGAAGGGGAAUCUUCUGGAACGUCGGCAUCGGGCAGUCACACCGGUCCCCCGAGUUGCAGAAGUUCGAGCAUGCGAGUGGCCAAGCGAUGUGUUCUUAUGCACCAUCGGACUUUAUGAGGACUUUUACUACUUGGUGGAGAGCGCAGGCCUUACCGCCUUCGUUGAAGAUAAGUGUCCGCAAUACCUCCUCCUCACUAAUAUUUUCGUGCAAAGCUUUAACUUCUAUCCAAGGAAUAAUCCUCUUAUGGUUGAGUUCAAGUUAUAUGAUAUCCCCGAGUGCAUGUCACUUCAGGAUUUUUGCAAUGUUUGCAAAUUACCUUAUGUUGGGGAUAUUCAUGAACCUCGUCCACGGGACUUGGAGGCUUUCAUAGAUACUAUUGAUGUAGGAGAGGAAAGAGGAGUGUCUUGCGCUAGAGCUGCUAGCAUACAUUUUCCCGUGCUUCGGUACUUCUCAUUAUUCGUGGGAAAAUGUUUGAUUGGCUGUGGGAAAGCUGGGGCCCUUAGCUCCCCAGAUCUUGAGGUUUUGCACGAAGCCCCUUAUGAUGAUAAAACGUAUAGCUUGGGCACUAUAGUAGCUCAGCGGUUGAACACAAACUGUUCUAAAGGCGUUGUUUAUGGAGGUAUCUAUGCUACCCGUCUUGCUAGACAUUUUGAGAUACCUAUUAGACUGCACGNNNNNNNNNNAAGAUAUCUAGAUUAUGAUAGCAUGGUUCGCCAUGACUUUCUUGAUAAAUAUAUAAAUAAGAGGAUGAUUUAGAACCUGGUAUUUAGUCAGGGUACUCGUGAGACUAUUACUUUGCCUGCUCCUUCUUUGUUCAAUCUUCAUCUAGGCAGGUACAUUAUUAUGCUCUCGAACAUCUACGCAUAUUGGGGCAUAACACCACCACAUGCGCCCGUGCCCGAGCUACCAGUCGAGUACCACACGCCAGUUUAUCAGUGGGAGCUAGAGGAGCUCACACAACAGUGGCACCCUCAGUACACUCCGGAGUACCCCGGAGACGGUUAUUUCCCUCCUUGGGAGUAGACUAACUUAGGCCAAAAGCCUAAGCUUGGGGGAGUAUGUGUUUCUCACCGACUUUAUAUUCAGGUUCACACUUUCACUUUGAUAGUCGGUGUUCACACUUUACCACUUUAUCAUCCAUGCUAGUUUAUUUCUUUUUCUCGCUUUCUUCUCGUGUGUUUGUCUAGUUUGAGAAAACCCAAAAAGAUUUCCCGUUCUUCUUUUGUUUGUUGGGAGCUUUCCCGUGUAAAUAGUUUUCUUUUUUUGGGUCAAGGUAGAAGACCAUGGUUACAAUGUUUAGUGGCUCUCGCAUGCAUAUUAGUUUAUCUGUCAAAGAGCCAUAUUACUUUGUCUUCUCCUUUGUGUUUUCUUACAGAUUCCAGCUUAGUCCAAUGCACAAGCACUCCUAUUAUUGUUCACAUCAUUCGGUCGUGCAAGUGAAAGGCAAUAAUGACGAUAUAUGAUGAAGUGANNNNNNNNNNNNNNNNNNNNNNNNNNNNNNNNNNNNNNNNNNNNNNNNNNNNNNNNNNNNNNNNNNNNNNNNNNNNNNNNNNNNNNNNNNNNNNNNNNNNGCACACGGCGGGGGGACGUGUCCUAGGGGGUGGCGGUGCCACUAGGCCGUGUGGCCCCCUCUAGUAUGUCUUCAUUCCAUAAUUCAUUAUAUAUUCAAAAUUAUUCUCCAAAAAACCCCAUUUAAUUCUGAACACUUUUAUUUAUGCACAAAAUAACAUCGUGGCAAUUCUUCUGAAAACAACGUUAGUCGGNNNNNNNNNNUCCCCAUUUAAUUCUCAGCACUUUUAUUUCUGCACAAAAUAACAUCGUGGCAAUUCUUCUGAAAACAACGUUAGUCGGAUAAGUUCGCUCCAAUCAUGCAAAUUAGAGAUCAAAAUAAUAAUGAAAGUGUUUGACAAAGUAGGUACAUUUGAGACAUAACAAUCACAUGGCAAGUCAUUCAGCAGCAAAGUCACUCAAGAACACAAGGUUGUAGAUAAUACAAAAGGAAAUGCAGUUCUUGAUGACAAGUUAGCAACACUGAAAGCAUAUCAGUGAGCUAAGGGCCUGUGUUUAAUAUGUGGGGAAUGAUGGGGCCGUGACCACAGGUGCAGCACUAUUGUCCAGCUAUAUGUGGUGCAAUAGAUGCUUGAGUGUUGUGCUCUUGACAGUGUUGAUUUGGAGGAUAANNNNNNNNNNNNNNNNNNNNNNNNNNNNNNNNNNNNNNNNNNNNNNNNNNNNNNNNNNNNNNNNNNNNNNNNNNNNNNNNNNNNNNNNNNNNNNNNNNNNUACAACAUCACAAUGAGUUUGCAAGCAAUGUGACUAAAGAGUUAGCCAUGGGAUCUUGUAUUACAGAACGAGUAAAGAGACUUGCCGGUAACGAGAUUGAACUAGGUACGGAUAUACCGACGAUCGAAUCUCGGGCAAGUAACAUACCGAUGAACAAAGGGAACUACAUAGGAGAUUAACUAAAACCUUGACAUGGAGGUUCGACCGAUAAAGAUAUUGUAGAAUAUGUAGGAACCAAUAUGGACAUCUAGGUCCCGCUAUUGGUUAUUGACCGUAGAGGUGUCUCGGUCAUGUCUACAUAGUUCUCGAACCUGCAGGGUCUACACAAUUAACGUUUCGUGACGAUAUAAGCAUAAUCGAGUCAUUGUAUUGGUGACCGAAGGUUGUUUGGAGUCGCGGAUGAGAUCCCGGACUUGACGAGGAAUUCCGAAAUGGCCUAGAGGUGAAGAUUGAUAUAUAGGAUGAAGGGCAUCAGAGUUUGGAAGUGUUCCGGGGCACACGUGGGAAUCGAUGGAGUGCCGAAAGGAGUUUAGGGUAGGGGGAGUGUUGNNNNNNNNNNGAAUGGUCUAGAGGUGAAGAUUGAUAUAUAGGAUGAGGGGCAUCAGAGUCUGGAAGUGUUCUGGGGCACACCUGGGAAUCGAUGGAGUGCCGAAAGGAGUUUAGGGUAGGGGGAGUGUUGGCGGGGGAGCGCUCAUGGGCCAAGGAGAGGUGGCACCCCAGCCCACAAGGGGUUGGGUGCCGACCAAACCCCAACACACCUAGGCUAGGGGAGGGCCUCACCCCCUAGGGCCGCCGGCCAACCCAACUUGGGUGGCNNNNNNNNNNNNNNNNNNNNNNNNNNNNNNNNNNNNNCAGGGGAGGGCCUCACCCCUAGGGCCGCCGGCAACCCAACUUGGGUGGCAAGGCUCCUUGGUGGGAGGGCCUCCCAAACCUAGCCGCCACUCCCUUGGCCGCCGGACCCUAGGGGUAACCCUAGGGCGCCCUUCCCUCCUCCCUUUCCCCUAGAUAUAGAGAGGGAGAGAGAGGGAAGCAGCACCACAACAUUCUACAACACUGCUCCUCCUCCCCCUCGUAGUUCUUCUCCUCUCAUAAUCGCUCCACGAAACCCUGCUGAGCUAUCACCACCACCACCUCACCACGCCGUCGUGUUGCCGGAGGACUCGGCCUACUACUUCACUAUUGNNNNNNNNNNUGCUCCACAAAACCCUGCUGAGUUGUCACCACCACCACCUUACCACGCCGUCGUGUUGCCGGAGGACUCGGCCUACUACUUCACUAUUGCUCGCUGGAUCAAGGAGGUGAAGGCGUCAUCAAGCUAUACGUGUGUUGAAUGUAGAGGUGUCGUCCGUUCGACUCUUGACCGGGAGUUCGCGGGACGGAUCGUGAUCACAUCGCGAAGAAGUUCGACUACAUCAACCGCGUUCCUUAACACUUCUGCUAAGCGAUCUAAAAGGGUAUGUAGAUGCAAUCUCUCCUCUCGUAGAUGUUCGUCUCCUAGNNNNNNNNNNUCGGGAGUUCGCGGGACGGAUCGUGAUCGCAUCGCGAAGACGUUCGACUACAUCAACCGCGUUCCUUAACACUUCUGCUAAGCGAUCUACAAGGGAAUGUAGAUGCAAUCUCUCCUCUCGUAGAUGUUCGUCUCCUAGAUUGGUNNNNNNNNNNNNNNNNNNNNNNNNNNNNNNNNNNNNNNNNNNNNNNNNNNNNNNNNNNNNNNNNNNNNNNNNNNNNNNNNNNNNNNNNNNNNNNNNNNNNGGUGUUCAGGAUCAUUUAUUUGAUCAUCAGUAGUUCACGUCCGUUAUGCGUAGAUCUUCCCCCUCUUAUUUCUCAUACUCGUAAGUAAGCCACCAUAAAUAUAUGCUUAGCCGUUGCUGCAACCUCACCACUUAACCUUACUUCACCCAUUAAGCUUUGCUAAUCUUGAUACCUUUGGAAAUGAGAUUGCUGAGUCCCAUGUGGCUCACAGAUUACUACAACACCAGUUGCAGGUACAGGUAAAGGUNNNNNNNNNNCGCGUUGAUUGUUCAUUUGGAGUCACUUCUUCUUCUUCUUCUUCUUCUUCUUCUUCUUCUUCAUCGAUCUAGGAUGGGUUCCAGGCCGGCAGCCUGGGAUAGCAAGGAUGGACGUCGUUCUUCUUUUCUCGUUUGUUUUCGUCCGUAGUCGGACCCUGCUCUUACUCUUGAUGAUUAUGUAAUGUACUAUUGUGACUCUGAUGUAGCUUGUGGUGAGUGUAAGCCAACUCUAUAUAUAUAUCUCUUCUUUUCAGUACAUGUACUUGUAAUGAUAUCCAUUCUUGCGACACGACGAGAUGCGCUUCUAUCCCUGACGAGGCCUUCGUGCCAAAUUGAGGAUAGGGUCGCAUCUUGGGUGUGACAACCGGAUACUUGGAUUCCUUCUUCUCAUUUUCAUCAUCCUUGGGGGCACAGCUUGAAGAGCUUCUUAAGAACCUCCUCAUCUUUCCUUUUUCUUUCUCUGAAAAUUUCUGAAAUUUUAGUGACUCUAAGGAAAAGUGAACAAGACCCAACGAAACUCGUAGCAACUAAUCCUUCAAGUGCUUAGAGGCCAUAUCACGCAUCAAAACAACUUGGGGCCAGCUAAAAUUAGCAUGCAAAGCUCAAGAACAGGGUCACCAAGGCAGCAAAAAUACGCAACGAAUAAGGCACUAGAACAAAAGCUAACUGGACCAAUGGAGGAGUCACAUACCAAGGAGCAAUUUCCCCAAAACAGUUUGGUGAAUGGGGCUUUGCACAAGGAGAUCGAAAAUCGCAGCAAGAAGAGCAAGAACACGGGUUUNNNNNNNNNNUGAUGAUUUUUUUCUAGAGGUCGGAGAAGGAGAUGGCAGCUGGAAUAAGUGAAGGGGAACACGUGGGCCCCACAAGCCUGCUAGGCGCGGCCGGGGGGGUGCCCGCACCUCCAGGGCUUGUGGCCCACUGGUGCAUCCCCCUGACUAGCUCUCCGUCUCAGAAUUUUUCAAAAGUUCUAGAAAAAUCAUACUUGAUUUUCAUGGCAUUCGGAGAACUUUUAUUUUUGGGACAUUUUUCUACGGAACGCAAAAAGCAGAAAACAGGAAAAACUAAAGCUAAAUCUAUCAUUUUUAUUCUAAACAACCAAAGGUAAAGGUUUAGAACAGAGGGUUGUGACUCUUAGAUUCAUCCAUCACGGUCAUCAAAUGAAAUCCGUCAAUGAGGUUGAUCAAGUCUCCUUGACAAACUUUUUUCGAAUCGCGUAAAAACGGAGAAUUUUCGAAUAGUCACUAGGUUAACUCAAUGGGGAUGUGCAUAUCCCCAACAAGCAAAUCAUACUUCAUCUUAACAGUAGGUAUAGGGCAUUCAAAGCUCCCAAUAAGAAUCAAUGAAGUUUUUUCAAUAGCAUUGAUGCAAUGUACUCGAUAUUGCUUCUUUGGAAAGUGCACCGUAUGCUCAUUACCAUUGACGUGGAAAGUGACAUUGCCUUUGUUGCAAUCAAUAACAGCCCCUGCAGUGUUUAAAAAGGGUCUUCCAAGGAUGACCGCCAUGGCAUCAUCCUAGGGAAUAUCCAGAAUAACAAAGUCCGUUAAGAUAGUAACGUUAGCAACCACAACAGGCACAUCCUUGCAAAUGCCGAUAGGGAAAGCAGUUGAUUUGUCGGCCAUUUGCACAGAGAUUUCAGUGGGUGUCAACUUAUCCAGUUCAAGCCUACGAUAAAGAGAGAGAGGCAUAACACUAACACCGGCUCCAAGGUCGCAUAAAGNNNNNNNNNNNNNNNNNNNNNNNNNNNNNNNNNNNNNNNNNNNNNNNNNNNNNNNNNNNNNNNNNNNNNNNNNNNNNNNNNNNNNNNNNNNNNNNNNNNNAGCUAGAAGCCGACCCAACCCACGGAGGGCAGCACUGUCUUCUUCCUCGUGCGAGGAGGAGAAGGAGUGGCGUGUCGCCGUGCAACCGAUCGUGGCCACGUCGCCGGCCACCUCCUGCUUCCCACGUCCUCAUCCUGCUCGCCCAGGAGACGUCCUCCUCCUCCUNNNNNNNNNNNNNNNNNNNNNNNNNNNNNNNNNNNNNNNNNNNNNNNNNNNNNNNNNNNNNNNNNNNNNNNNNNNNNNNNNNNNNNNNNNNNNNNNNNNNNNNNNNNNNNNNNNNNNNNNNNNNNNNNNNNNNNNNNNNNNNNNNNNNNNNNNNNNNNNNNNNNNNNNNNNNNNNNNNNUGUAGCCACCACCGUUGCCUCACAUCCCCGAGGUGCCCAUCAUCUCCGCCACAUCGCGCAGAUCCUCCACACCGAAGGAAUNNNNNNNNNNCUCUCAUUGCCCUCGCUCUCUGGUUCUCUCCUUCUCCUUUGUUGCUCCCUCCUCUCGCACAACCGAGCACCACCGCGAGCGCUACUCGCCUUUAUCGUAGCCACCAUCGUUGCCUCACAUCCCCGAUCUGCCCAUCAUCUCCGCCACAUCGCGCAGAUCCUCCACACCGAAGGAAUCAGACCCACAUCACCGACAUCGACCCCAACAAAAGCUUUGAUCGCCGGCAACCCCGCCAUUGAUUAUCGGCAACCGAGCCAACCCCUAACACGUUGACCCUGCCUUCGACUUCGGCAUGAGCUCCUCACAUGUUUCCCCCUCUCCUGGUGGUUGUUUUAUCUUCUAACUAGCAUAGCCGCGAGCGCCCGAGGCCACUGAGGGAGUCCGUGACUAAGGGGUUCCCUGGAUCGCAAAUCUAUUCUCAUGGACCGGACUCCUAGGAAUGUCGAUCAUCCUUGGAGGUAUCGGAAUCAAGAUGGACUCUUCCGAAGACUUGGCAUACAAUCCAAGGCGACGUAGUAAUCGGCAUAUUCCUUCNNNNNNNNNNUCCACCGAGGGAGUCCGUGACUAAGGGGUUCCCUGGAUCGCAAAUCUGUUCUCAUGGACCGGACUCCUAGGCAUGUUCGAUCAUCCUUGGAGGUAUUGGAAUCAAGAUGGACUCUUCCGUAGACUUGGCAUACAAUCCAAGGCGACGUAGUAAUCGGCAUAUUCCUUCCUUAUUGUAACCGACUUUGUGUAACACUAGCAACCCUGAUAUCUAUAUAAACCAGGGGUCCGUAGUUCGUAGGACACAUUUCGUUCAUUACGAUUAGGGUUUUAGACAACAACAUCCGAUCUCGAGGUAGAUCAACUAUGUACUGUGUACAACUUCAUCAANNNNNNNNNNNNNNNNNNNNNNNNNNNNNNNNNNNNNNNNNNNNNNNNNNNNNNNNNNNNNNNNNNNNNNNNNNNNNNNNNNNNNNNNNNNNNNNNNNNNAGACAGAGUAACAGUAGCAGCAGUCACAGCAGUAGCAGCAAAGUAACAUAGCAAGGACCGGUAGGAAAAACUCGUAGGCAUUGGAUCGGUGAUGGAAAAUUAUGCCGGAUGAGAUUCAUCAUGCAAGAGUUAUAACAUGGAGAGAUAUGUAACUAGCUCCAGUUCGUCAAUUUAAUGUAGGCAUGUAUUCCGUAUGUAGUCAUACGUUCUUAGGGAAAAGAACUUGCAUGACAUCUAUUGGCCAUCCCUCCCGUGGCAGCGGGGUCCUAAUGGAAACUAUGGGAUAUUAAGGUUCUCCUUUUAAUAGAUAACUGGAACAAAGCAUUAGCACGUAGUGAAUACAUGAACUCCUCAUACUAUGGUCAUCUCCGGGAGUGGUUCCGGCUAUUGUCACUCCGGGGUUGCCGGGUCAUAACACAUAGUAGGUGACUACAACUUGCAAGAUAAGAUCAAGAACACACAUAUAUUGACGUGAACAUAAUAGGUCCAGAUCUGAAAUCAUGGCACUCGGGCCCUAGUGACAAGCAUUAAGCAUGGCAAAGUAGUAGCAACACAAAUCUCAGAACAUAGUGGAUACUAGGGAUCAAUCCCCAUCAAAACUAACUCGAUUACAUGAUAGAUCUCAUCCAACCCAUCAGCGUCCAGCAAGCCUACGAGGAGAUUACUCACGAACGGUGAAGAGCAUCAAAAAAUUGACGAUGAAGGAAGGUUGGUGAUGACGAUGGCGACGAUCUCCCCUCUCCGGAGCCCAAAACGGACUCCAGAUCUGCCCUCCAAAGGAAGAACAGGUGGUGGCGGCGCCUCCGUAUCAUAAAACGCGAUGAACUCUUCUCCUUGAUUUUUUUCCGGACGAAAGGGACUAAAUNNNNNNNNNNAGAAUUGGAGGCGAUGGAGCUCUCAGGGCCCCACAAGCCUGCUAGGCGCGGCCGGGGGGGUCGCGCCUGGUGGGUUUGUGGGCUCCUCGCUCCACUCCUCUGGUUGAUUCUUGCGCCAGUAUUUUUUACAUAUUUCACAAAAAAUCCUCGUAAAUUUCCAGGUAAUUCCGAGAACUUUUAUUUCUGCGCAAAAACAACACCAUGGCAAUUCUGUUGAAAACAACAUUAGUUCGGGUUAGUUCCAUUCAAAUCAUGCGAAUUGAAGUCCAAAACAAGGGCAAAAGAGUUUGCAAAAGUAGAUAUGACGGAGACGUAUCAACUCCCCAAGGCUUAAAGCCUUCCUUGUCCCCAAACUGAAAGAGGCAAAAGAAAAACUUUUACAAACUCUGUUUGAUCUUGUUGUUGCAAUUAUGUCUAACUCAUAUUCAGAUUUUCAGCAAGAUCAUAAGCUAACCAUAAGCAAUGACAUUUAGGUUUCAUGGCAAACUCAUAUCAAUGGCAUAAUCAACUAGCAAGCAAUAAUAAUGAGUUUCAAAUGUCAACACUUCAAUCAAAACAAUCAUGAAGCAAUAUGAACCGAUGGUAUCUCGCUAGCUCUUUCUGAGACCGCAAAACAUAAAUGCAAAGCACCUUCAAAGAACAAGGGCUGACUGAACAUUGUAAUUCAUGGCAAAGAAGAUCCGGUCACAGUCAUACUCAAUAACAAUUAAAAUCAAAGCAUAAAAAUGACGGAGGUGCUCUCUAAUUGGUGCUUUUAUAAGGAGAGGAUGACUCAACAGAAACAUAAAUAGAGAGGCCCUUCGUAGAGGGAAGCAUUGAUUUGCAGAGGUGCGAGAGCUCAAGCUUUGAAGACAGAGAUAAAUAAUUUUGGGUGGCAUGCUUUCAUUGUCAACGCAAUGACCAAGAGUUUUCACCAUCUUCCAUGCUACACAUACUAUAGGCGGUUCCCAAACAGAAAAGUAAAGUUUUGACUUCCCCACCACCGAUCAAUCACACUUCAUGACUAGCUGAAUACUCGGGUGCCGUCCAUACCAACAAUAAUCCAAAGGGAGUUUUGUUUGCAAUUAUCUUUUCGAUUUGAGCAUGGAACUGGGCAUUCCAAUUACCAGCCCCUUUCUCGUGAAUGAUAGUGAAUAAACACAUAUCGAGGAUAACACACCUAGCAUGGAAGAUAUUGACCGCCCCUUGUCACCACAUGAGCGGUUCGGGCAUGCAAAACAGAUUAUUUCUUGAAGGUUUCGAGAGUGACACAUGCAAAUUUACUUCGAAGGGCAGGUAGAUACCGCAUAUAGGUAGGUAUGGUGGACUCAUAUGGAACAACUUUGGGUUUAUGGAAGUGGAUGCACAAGCAGUAUUCCCGCUUAGUACAAGUGAAGGCUAGCAAAAGACUGGGAAGCGACCAACUAGAGAGCGACAACAAUCUUCAAAAUGCAUUGAGAUUAACCAACAUUGAGUGCAAGCAUGAGUAGGACAUAAAUCACCAUAAACAUGAAUAUCAUAGAGGCUAUGUUGAUUUUGUUUCAACUACAUGCGUAAACAUGCCCCAAGUCAAGCCACUUCAAUCAUUCAAAGGAGGAUACCAUCCUAUCAUACUACAUCAUAAUCAUCUCAAAAUUCAUGUUGGCAUCCAAGACAAACCANNNNNNNNNNAAUCAUAGAGGCUAUGUUGAUUUUGUUUGAACUACAUGCGUAAACAUGCGCCAAGUCAAGCCACUUGAAUCAUUCAAAGGAGGAUACCAUCCUAUCAUGCUACAUCAUAAUCAUCUCAAAAUUCAUGUUGGCAUCCAAGACAAACCAUUCUAAGCUCCUAGCUAAUUAAGCAUGGCAUCAGAUACUAUGAUCUCUAAGUUGUCAUUGCAAACAUGUUUCUCUCACAACAAAGCUGAAUCUGAACGAUGAGCUAGUCAUAAUUACAAAAACAAAAUAGAUCGAGUUCAUACCAGCUUUUCUAUGCUCAGUCACUUCAUCAUAUAUCGUCAUUAUUGCCUUUCACUUGCACGACCGAANNNNNNNNNNNNNNNNNNNNNNNNNNNNNNNNNNNNNNNNNNNNNNNNNNNNNNNNNNNNNNNNNNNNNNNNNNNNNNNNNNNNNNNNNNNNNNNNNNNNGCCCUGUGUUAGCGUUGCUAGUUGCAGGUGCUUUGCUUCCAUGUGAAAGCAUGGGUUCCUUGUUAUAUCACCAUAUUAAAUGCUAUUUAAUUUAAUGCACCUAUAUACUUAGUAAAAGGUGGAAGGCUCGGCCUUUUUAGCCUGGUGUUUUGUUCCACCUUUGCCCCCUUAGUUUCCGGCUGCCGGUGUUAUGUUCCAUAAUUGAGCGCUCCUAACACGAUCGGGGUUGUUAUGGGGACCCCCUUGAUAAUUCGUUUUAGAUUAAAGCUGGUCUGGCCAGGCCCAACAUUGGUACUACAUUUGCCUAAUCACCUGAUAAAAUUGCAUAGGGACUUUCCGGACCCCGAGGAUAAUUUAAUCAACCCCCGGGCCAGUGCUCCUCAUGAGUGUUGGUCCAAAACAGAGCAGCUUAUUAACGCUACCCGGGGUAACUCGGCGUUUGGCGUGGUAACCAUCACUCAUCCGUCGUGUCGUGAGAACGAGGUAUGCGACUCCUAUCGGGAUCGUCGACACGUCAGGCGGCCUUGCUGGAUUAGUUUUACCUUUGUCGAGAUAUCUUGUGCAUCGGGAUUCCGGUGAUGCUUUGGGUAAUCUCAGNNNNNNNNNNAAGGCCCAACAUUGGUACUACAUUUGCCUAAUCACCUAAUAAAAUUGCAUAGGGACUUUCCGAACCCCGAGGAUAAUUUAAUCAACCCCCGGGCCAGGGCUCCUCAUGAGUGUUGGUCCAAAACAGAGCAGCUUGUUAACGCUACCCGGGGCAACUCGGCGUUUGGCAUGGUAACCAUCGCUCAUCCGUCGUGUCCUGAGAACGAGGUACGCGACUCCUAUCGGGAUCGUCGACACGUUGGGCGGCCUUGCUGGAUUAGUUUUACCUUUGAUGAGAUAUCUUGUGCAUCGGGAUUCCGGUGAUGCUUUGGGUAAUCUCAGAGUUUAGGUUUUCCACUAGGUAAUCCGACGAGAUCGCGAGCUUCGUGAUUGAGGAUUUCUACGCGGCUUGUGGUAAUUUGUGAUGGACUAGUUGGAGCACCCCUGCAGGGUUAAANNNNNNNNNNUGGAAAGCCGUGCCCGCGGUUAUGUGGCAACGUGGAAACUUUGUUUAACACUGGUUCUAGAUAACUUGAAGCUAACUUAAUUAAAAUAUGCCAACUGUGUGUGUAACCGUGAUUGUCUCUUUCGUGAGUUCCUUCUCCGAUCGAGGACACGGUGGGGUUAUGUCUGACGUAGGUAGGUGUUCAGGAUCAUUUAUUUGAUCAUCAGUAGUUCACGUCCGUUAUGNNNNNNNNNNGAGGUUUUCCACUAGGGAAUCCGACGAGAUCGCGAGCUUCGUGAUUGAGGAUAUCUAUGCGGUUUGUGGUAAUUUGUGAUGGACUAGUUGGAGCACCCCUGCAGGGUUAAAUCUUUUCAGAAAUCCGUGCCCGCGGUUAUGUGGCAACAUGGAAACUUUGUUUAACACUGGUGCUAGAUAACUUGAAGCUAACUUAAUUAAAAUAUGCCAACUGUGUGUGUNNNNNNNNNNNNNNNNNNNNNNNNNNNNNNNNNNNNNNNNNNNNNNNNNNNNNNNNNNNNUGUAGAUCUUCCCCCUCUUAUUUCUCGUACUCGUAAGUUAGCCACCAUAAAUAUAUGCUUAGCCGUUGUUGCAACCUCACCACUUAACCUUACUUCACCCAUUAAGAUUUGCUAGUCUUAAUACCUUUGGAAAUGAGAUUGCUGAGUCCCCUGUGGCUCACAGAUUACUACAACACCAGUUGCAGGUACAGGUAAAGGUUACUUGACGCGAGUGCGUUGAUUGUUCAUUUGGAGUUGCUUCUUCUUCUUCUUCUUCUUCUUCAUCGAUCUAGGAUGGGUUCUAGGCCGGCAGCGUGUGAUAGCAAGGAUGGACGUCGUUCUUCUUUUCUCGUUUGUUUUCGUCCGUAGUCGGACCCUGCUCUUACUCUUGAUGAUUAUGUAAUGUACUAUUGUGACUCUGAUGUAGCUUGUGGUGAGUGUAAGCCAACUCUAUAUAUAUAUCUCUUCUUUUCAGUACAUGUACUUCUAACGAUAUCCAUUCUUGUGACACGACGAGAUGCGCUUCUAUCCCUGAUGAGGCCUUCGUGCCAAAUUGAGGAUAAGGUCGCAUCUUGGGCGUGACAAGUUGGUAUCAGAGCAGUACCGACCUAGGAGCCCCCUUUAUUGAUCGAACAUGGCCGAGUCGAGUCUAGUGUAAAACUAUUUGAGUCUUAGUUAUAUANNNNNNNNNNNNNNNNNNNNNNNNNNNNNNNNNNNNNNNNNNNNNNNNNNNNNNNNNNNNNNNNNNNNNNNNNNNNNNNNNNNNNNNNNNNNNNNNNNNNAUAUCUAUAGGCAUCACGUCCAAAACAAGUAGACCGAUACUUUCUGCAUCUACUACUAUUACUCCACACGUCGACCGCUAUCCAGCAUGCAUCUAGUGUAUUAAGUCCGAAAGAACAGAGUAACGCCUUAAGCAAGAUGACAUGAUGUAGAUGGACAAUCUCAUAUCUACGACAAAGCCCACCUUGUUACCCUUGAUGGCAACUACAGGAUGUGUGCCUUGCUGCCCCUACUGUCACUCGGAAAGAUCACCACACGAUAAGAACCCAAAACCAAGCACUUCUCCCAUUGCAAGAAUCAUAGAUCUAGUUGGCCAAACAAAACCCAAGACUCGGAGAGACUUACAAGGAUAUCAAAUCAUGCAUAUAAGAAAUUAGCAAAGACUCAAAUAUAUGUCAUAGAUAAUCUGAUCACAAAUCCACAAUUCAUCGGAUCUCGACAAACACACCGCCAAAGAGGAUUACAUCGGAUAGAUCUCCAUGAAGAUCAUGGAGAACUUUGUAUUGAAGAUCCAAGAGAGAGAAGAAGCCAUCUAGCUACUAACUACGGACCCGUAGGUCUGAAGUGAACUACUCACGAGCAUUGGAGGGGCGAUGAUGUUGAUGUAGAAGACCUCCAACUCCAAAGUCCCCUCCGGCAGGGCACCGGGAAGGGUCUCCAGAUGAGAUCUCACAGAAACGGAAGCUUGCGACGGCGGAAAAGUAUUUUCGUGGAUUCCUUGAUUUUUUUCUGUAUUUUAGGGAAUAUAUAGGCGAAGGAUCUAGGUCAGGGGGCGCCAGGGAGGCCACAAGCCUGCCAUCCACCGCCCCCCUGGUGGCGGAUGGGGGGCUUGUGGGCUCCCUGUAGCCCUCCUGGCUUGGCCCACAAGCCCCCUGAUCUUCUUCCAUUCGGGAAAAAUUUAAUUCGGGGAUUUUAUUCCGUUUGGACUCUGUUCCAAAAUCGGAUCUGAAAAGAGCCAAAAACACAGAAAAAACAGGAAUUGGCACUUGGCACUGAAUUAAUAAGUUAGUCCCAAAAAAGAUAUAAAAGGUACAUAAAACAUCCAAGGAUGACAAGAUAACGGCAUGAAACCAUCAAAAAUUAUAGAUACGUUUGAGACGUAUCACACGCUCGAACUUCUGCGACUCGAGGGACCAGAUACUUGGGCUUCUUCUCACUCCCAUCAUCCUUGGGGUCACGGCUUGACGAGCCUCUUAAGAACCUCCUCAUCUUUUCCCUUUUCUAUCUCUGAAAAUUUCUGAAAUUUUUAGUGAUUCUAAGGAAAAGUGAACAAGGCUCAACUAAACUCGUAGCAACUACUCCCACAAGUGCCUAGAGGCCAUAUUACGCAUCAAAACUACUUGGGACCAGCUAAAAUCAGCAUGCAAAGCUCAAGAACAUGGUCACCAAGGCAGCAAAAAUACAUGGAGUAUAAGGCACUAGAGAAAAAACUAAUUGGGCCAAUGGAGGAGUCACUUACCAAGGAGUAAUUUCCCCAAAACAGUUCAGAGAACGGUGAUUUGAGCAAAGAGAUCGAAAAUCCCAGCAAGAGGAGCAAGAACACGGGUUUGAGCUGCGAAACGAUUUUUUCUGGAGGUAGGAGAACCAGAUGAGAGAAAGAAUGAGUGGAGGGGGUUCCUGUGGGCCCCACAAGCCUAGGUGGUGUGGCCAGGGGGGUGCCCGCGCCCUCAGGGCUUGUGGCCCACUGGUUCCUACCCCAAACAAACUCUUCGUCUCAGAAUUUUUCAAAAAUUCCAGAAAAAAUCAUACUUGAUUUUCAGGAUGUUCGGAGAACUUUUAUUUUCGGGGUACUUUUCUACCGGACGCUAAAACAGAAAACAUGGAAAACUAAACUAAAUCUAUCAUUUUUCUUCUAAGCAACCAAAAGUGAAAGCUUGGAAUAGAGGUUUGUGACUCCUCGAUUCAUCCAUCUCAUGGUCAUCGAAAGAAAUCCGUCAAUGGGGUUGAUCAAAUCCCCUUGACAAAACUUCUCGAAUCGCAAAAGAAGACGGAGAAUUUUCGAACAGUCACUAGGUCACCUCAAUGGGGAUGUGUAUCUCCCCAACAAGCAAAUCAUACUUCAUCUUGACACGAGGAAUAGGGCAUUCAAAGCUCCCAAUAAGAAUCGAUGAAGUCUUUUCGAUAGCAUUGAUGCAAUGUACUCGAUAUUGUUUCUUCGGAAAGUGCACCGUAUGCUCAUUAUCAUUGACAUGGAAAGUCACAUUGCCUUUGUUGCAAUCUAUAACAGCCCCUGCGGUGUUUAAAAAGGGUCAUCUGAGGAUGACAGCCAUCGCAUCAUCCUCGGGAAUAUCCAAGAUAACAAAGUCUGUUAAGAUAGUGACGUUAGCAACCACAACAGGCACAUCCUCGCAAAUGCCGAUAGGGAAAGCAGUUGAUUUGUCGGCCAUUUGCAGAGAGAUUUCAGUGGGUGUCAACUUAUCCAGUUCAAGUCUAUGAUAAAGAGAGAGAGGCAUAACACUAACACCGGCUCCAAGGUCGCAUAACGCAGUUCUAACGUAGUUGCCUUUAAUGGAGCAAGGUAUAGUGGGCACACCGGGAUCACCUAGUUUCUUCGGAGUUCCACCCUUGAAAGUGUAAUUGGCAAGCAUGGCGGAGAUCUCAAGAUCAGGUAUCCUCCUCUUAUUAGUCACAAUAUCUUUCAUGUACUUAGCAUAUGGAGACAUUUUGAGCAUAUCUGUCAAACGCAUUUGCAGGAAGACAGGUAUGAUCAUCUCAACGAAGCGCUCAAAAUCCUCAUCAUCCUUUUUCUUGGAUGGUUUGGGAGGAAAGGGAAUGGGUUUAACCCAUGGUUCCCUUUCUUUACCAUGCUUCCUAGCAGUGAAGUCAUUCUUAUCGUAUCUUCUAUUCUUAGGCUGUGGGUUAUCAAGAUCAGGUUCAAUCUCCACAUCCUUUUCAUUGCUAGGUUGAGCAUCAACAUGAACAUCACUAUUCAUAUUAUCAUUAGGCUCAUGUUCAUCACCAGAUUGUGUUUCAGCAUUAAAGACAGAGGCAUCGUUUGGACUCUCAGGUGUAGCAGAGUUGCUAGCGUGCAGGUUCCUAUCAUCUUUCUUCUUCUUCCUAGGAUGACUAGGUGCAUCAGUGCUAACCCCUUGAGAAUCUUGUUCAACUCUCUUCGGAUGACCCUCAGGAUACAGAGGUUCUUGGGUCAUUCUACCGCCUCUAGUGACGACUCUGACGGAAUUGUCAUUCAACUCACUGAGCAAGUCAUUUUGAGCUUUAAGUACCUGUUCUACCUGAGUAGUAACCAUAGAGGCAUGUUUACUCAGAAGUUUAAGAUCAUUGACAUUCCUGUCCACACAAGCACUUAAAUGACUAAGCAUACGAGCAUUCUGUUCCAAUUGUCUGCUAACAUUAUCAUUGAAACUCUGUUGUUUGGCAACGAAGUUAUCAAAUUUAUCCAUGCAUAAGCUAGCAGGUUUAUCAAAAGGAAUAUCACUCUCAUCAAACCUACACAGAGAAUUUACUUCUACUACCUGUAUCGGGUUAUCAAGACCAUGGAUCUCUUCGAUAGGUGGUAGAUUUUUGACAUCUUCAGAUUUAAUGCCUUUCUCUCGCAUAGAUUUCUAAGCUUCUUGCAUAUCUUCGGGACUGAGGAAUAGAAUACCUCUUUUCUUCGGAGUUGGCUUAGGAGGUGGUUCGGGAAUAGUCCAAGCAUUCUCAUUGCACAAGAUGUUAUUCAAUAGGAUCUCAGCUUGUUCUACAAUUCGUUCCCUAAAAACACUACCGGCACAACUAUCUAGAUGGUCUUUGGAAGCAUCGGUAAGUCCAUUAUAGAAGAUAUCAAGUAUUUCAUUCUUCUCAAGAGGGUGACCAGGCAAAGCAUUCAGUAGCUAUAUGAGCCUCCCCCAAGCUUGUGGGAGACUCUCUUCUUCAGCUUGAGCAAAGUUGUAUAUUUCCUGCAAGGCAACUUGCUUCUUAUGGGCAGGGAAAUAUUUUUCAGAGAAGUAGUAGACCAUAUCCUGGGGGCUACGCACACAACCAGGAGCAAGAGAAGUGAACCAGGUCUUAGCAUCAUCCUUUAGCGAGAAAGGAAAUAGCUUGAGGAUAUAGUAGUGGUGGAUCUUUUCCUCACUAGUGAAUAGGGUGGCUAUAUCGUGCAGUUUGGUAAGAUGGGCUACAACUGUUUCACACUCAUAACUGUGAAAAGGAUCAGAUUCGACUAGAGUGAUUAACUCAGGGUCGACAGAGAAUUCAUAAUCCUUAUCGGUCACAAAGAUAGGCGAAGUAGCAAACUUCGGGUCGUAUUUUAUCCUAGCGUUCACAUAUUUUUCUUUCCACUUGCGCAGUAAUUUCUCAACAUCAUAGCUAUCCUUCCACGCAAGAAAAUCCUCAGCUAUCUCUCCCUCCAUAACAUAACGUGUAUCAGGCAUAGCAGGCAUAGGAGAGCUAGUUCUAGCAGGCAAAAUAGCAGGUUCUACUUCAAUAGUAUCAACAGUUUCAGAAGUAUCAUCACAUCUAGCAGCAAUUCUAGCAAGUUGUGCAUCAAGGAAUGCACCUAGUGGCAAAGCAGUAUCAGGCAUAGGAUCAUCAGGCAUAGUAUCAAGCAUAGCAUCAUCACGCAUAGUAUCAAGCAUAGUAUCAAGCAUAGCAUCAUCAGGCAUAGUAUCAAGCAUAGCAUCAUCAUAAGCAUCAUGGGCAGCAGAAGUAGCAUCAUCAAGCACAAGCGACAUAUCAAGAUUUCUAGCAGGAGGUGAUGUCGCAAACUUACUCAUAACUGAAGGUGAAUCAAGUGCAGAGCUAGAUGGCAGUUCCUUACCUGUCCUCGUAGUGGAAGGCAAGACUUUAGUUCUUGGAUCUAUCGGAUUCCUCAUAGUGAUCAGCAGACGUCAAUCCCAAGUGACUCAGAGAAUAUAGUUGUGCCUCCCCGGCAACGGCGCCAGAAAAAGGUCUUGAUAACCCACAAGUGUACGGGAUCGCAACCGUUUUCGAGGGUAGAGUAUUCAACCCAAAUUUGUUGGUUCGCCAAAGGGGAAGUGAAAGAAUAUUCUCAAGUAUUAGCAGCUGAGUUUGUUAGAUUCAACCACACCUGAAAGAUUAGUGUCUGCAAGCAAACUAUCAGUAACAAAGUAGUAUGAUAGCAACGGUGCCAGAAAUGAUCUGUUGACGACAGACUGUUCCUAACUGUUGUAUCAAUGGCGCUAGUAGGUUGCACGUGGGCGAGUAACUAUUCUUCCCCGACAACAGUGUCGGAAAAGAUCUUGCAACAAGUAACAGGGAAGUAGCAAGGAACAGCAGUAGCAGCAGCAGCAGAGUAACAACAGUAGCAAUAGUAGUAGCAAAGUGGCCCAAUCCCUUUUGUAGCAAGGGACAAGCCUAAACAAAGUAACGUAGCAAGGACCAGUAGUAAAAGACUCAUAGGCAGUGGAUAGGUGAUGGAUGAGUGUGACAGAUGUGAUUCAUCAUGUAAUAGCUAUAACACGGAGAGAUAAGUAACUAGCUCCUGUUCGUCAAUCUAAUGUAGGCAUGUAUUACAUAUGUAGUCAUACGUGCUUAGGGAAAAGAACUUGCAUGACAUCUAUUGUCCAUCCCUCCCGUGGCAGCGGGGUCCUAAUGGAAACUACGGGAUAUUAAGGUUCUCCUUUUAAUAAAGAACCGGACCAACGCAUUAACACUUGGUGAAUACAUGAACUCCUCAUACUAUGGUCAUCUCCGGGAGUGGUUCCGGCUAUUGUCACUCCGGGGUUGCCGGGUCAUAACACAUAGUAGGUGACUACAACUUGCGAGAUAGGAUCUAAAACACACAUAUAUUGGCGACAACAUAAUAGGUUCAGAUCUGAAAUCAUGGCACUCGGGCCCUAGUGACAAGCAUUAAGCAUAGCCAAGUAGUAGCAACACCAAUCUAGAACAUAGUGGAUACUAGGGAUCAAUCCCCGUCAAAACUAACUCGAUUACAUGAUAGAUCUUGUAACAACCAAGAUGCGGUCCUUUCCGAUCUGGGGGUCGAGGCCCCCGAAUAGGAAAGAAGCGCAUCUAAGCAUUUUGCUAGCAAGUAACAUAGCACAAAUAAUAAUAAAAGUAGACAAUUCGGGAUUCAACUGUCUUCUCAUUAAUAACUCAGAGUACAUCACAGAUACAAACAAGGUAGUUCUGCUACAGACUAUAAAACAUGAAAAUGCUAUGCUACCCUGCCUGCAGGCCCACGAUCACGACCACGCCUCAGUCCUCUGGAUAGUUCACGUAGAGGCGGUCUGUCUCCUCGUCGUACUACCACGCCAGCUGGGUGCCGUCGGGAUCAUAUGUCUCUGGGGUACCUGUACCUAUUGGGAGUUUUGGAGGAAUCCGUGAGCCACGGGGACUCAGCAAUCUAAGACCUUGGUGCCAGAACUAGUCAUGUUAUUAGGUAGGGUAAGGGUGAAGUGUAUUCGGCUGCAGCAUCCUAAGGUUGUUUUAGUGACUAACUUACGCAAAGUAAUUGUGAAGGUGGUCUACACUAGCGGUCGGGAUUACUUGAUCACUAAGUGAUCUUGAACACCUACCUACGGCAUUCAUAACCCCACCGUGUUCCCGAUCGAAGAGAGAUCUUCGAGGGGGGCAGUCACGGUUACGCACACAAUUGGCAAUUUUAUUCGCUUAUGUUAAAGUUCUCUAAUACCGGAUGUUAACAAAAUAUUCCAAGUUGCCACAUAACCGCGGGCACGGCUUUCCGAAAGAUUAAACCCUAGAGGGGUGCUCCAACUAGUCCAUCACAAACGUACACAGGCCGCAAAGGCAUCCUCUAUCACGAAACUCGUGAUCUCGUCGGAUUCCUUAGAGGAAAACCUCAACUCUGGGGGAAACCAAAGCUUCACUGGGAUUCCUAUACGCAAGAUAUACCGCUAAGGUAAGGCAAGGCUACAUCUGGGGCACUACAAACUCUCCCACACUACAAAGAAGAUCUCGCCCUCGAGAUCUAAGACUGAAAGAACUCGGGAAAUUCGGAACGGAGGUGAUCCUCGCGUUCCCACAUAGCCUCUUUAUCGGAAUGGUGAGACCACUGCACUUUGAGAAAUUUGACAGUCUUGUUACGGGUCUUGCGCUCAGUCGCCUCGAGGACCGCAACUGGAUGCUCACGAUAAGAAAGGUCAGGUUGAAGGUCGAUAUCUUGAAGAUGCACAGUGUGCUCGGGGGUCUUGAAACACCUCCGAAGCUGAGAAACAUGGAACACAUCAUGGACAUUUGCAAAGGUUGACGGAAGCUCGAGCUGGUACGCAAGUUCGCCCCUCUUGCCAACCACUCUGAACGGACCCAUGAAACGAGGCGCAAGCUUGCCUUUGAUGCCAAAGCGCUGCAUACCCUUCAUAGGUGACACCUUGAGAUAGAAAAAGUCAUCAAGCUCAUACGACAUGUCACGGUGCUUGCUAUUGUAAUAGCUCUUCUGACGGGACUGAGCUGCUCUGAGGUUGUCGCGAAUGAUCCGACACAUCUCCUCAGCUUCUUCGAUCAUAUCAUUGCCAAGGAUCUGACGCUCGCCAGUCUCGGACCAGUUAAGCGGAGUACGUCACUUUCUACCAUAGAGAAUUUCGAACGGAGCCUUGCCAAAACUAGCUUGAUAACUGUUGUUAUACGAGAACUCCGCGAAAGGCAGACAAUCCUCCCACUUCAUACCAAAAGAGAUAACACAGGCUCUCAACAUAUCCUCAAGAACUUGAUUCACUAUCUCCACUUGACCACUAGUCUGAGGAUGGAACGAUGUGCUGAAGCGGAUCUUCGUGCCCAUAGCAGACUGAAAGGAGUCCCAGAACUUGGAAGUGAAGAUACUUCCGUGAUCUGAAGAGAUCAUCAUGGGUACGCCGUGCAAAGAGACAAUCCUAGAGGUGUACAACUCUGCCAAGUGAGCUGCUGAAAUGGACUCCUUGACUGGAAGGAAAUGAGCCACUUUACUCAAUUUGUCGAUGACGACGAAGAUAGCAUCAUUGCCCUUCUUGGACUUCGGAAACCCGGUGACGAAGUCCAUCUCGAUGUGAUCAAACUUCCACUCACGAAUCGGCAAAGGCUACAAGAGGCCUGCUGGUCUUUGAUGUUCUGCUUUCACCCUUCGACAUACAUCACACUCGUUUACGAACUGUGCAAUUUCACGUUUCAUACGAGUCCACCAAAAAGUCUGCUUCAAGUCAUGGUACAUUUUGGAGCUUCCAAGAUGAAUAGAGAGCAGAGAGUUAUGAGCUUCUUCCAUGAUCACCUUCUUGAGAUCACCUUUCGGGACGACAAGGCGAUCCUCAAAAAACAACGUGUCCCUGGCAUCAACAGUGAAACACUUAUACUUGGGGAGACUCUUUUCCACGCCAAUCUUGACCUUCUUCACCAUAGCGUCAAGUAGCUGAGCUGCUCUGACCUGAUCUUCCAAGGUAGGAGAGAUCUCAAGGUUCGCAAGAAAACCCUGAGGUACUAGCUGAAGAUUAAGCUUCCUGAAAGACUCAGAAAGACCUUGUUGGAGAGGUUGCAGAAUCAGACUGUUGCAAUAUGCCUUCCUGCUCAAUGCAUCUGCCACAACAUUUGCCUUGCCUGGCGUAUACUCAACACUCGGAUUAAAAUCCUGGAGCAUUUCCACCCAACGCGUUUGCCGAAGAUUCAAGUUAGGCUGAGUGAAGAUAUACUUGAGACUCUUGUGAUCGGUGAAAACUUCAACCUUACGUUCCAACAAGAGAUGUCUCCAAGUCAUCAAGGCAUGCACAACAGCUGCUAGCUCGAGAUCGUGCACAGGAUAGUUCUUCUCCGCAGGCUUCAACUGCCUCGAGGUAUAAGCAACCACCUUCCUAUCUUGCAUCAAGACUGCACCGAGACCCUGGCGAGAAGCGUCGCAAAAGACCUGGUACGGCUUGGAAUCAUCCGGAGGGCCCAAGACCGGAGUGGAGAUAAGCUUCUCUUUGAGUGUAUCGAAAGCCACUUGACACUCUGGAGACCAAACAUACUUAACACCCUUCUGAAGAAGACUAGAGAGCAGCUUGGCGAUUUUGGAGAAGUUCACAAUGAAUCUUCUGCAAUAUUCGGCAAGCCCGAGAAAGCUUCGAAGCUGCUUCACAUUCUACGGAGGCUCCCAUUCAACAAUGGCUUGAACCUUGGACGGGUCAACCUUAAUGCCCUCGGCAGAGAUAAUAUGCCCAAGAUAAACCAUUUCUUUCAGCCACAACUCGCACUUGGAAAACUUGGCAUACAGCUUGUACUCUCUCAGUUUAUCAAGCACCAACCUGAGAUGUCUUUCAUGUUCUUCCUCAUUCUCAGAAAAGACCAGAAUGUAAUCGAGAUAGAGCAAGACAAAUUCAUUCUUGUAUGGUGAGAAAAUAUAGUUCAUCAAUCGACAAAAUGUCGGAGGAGCAUUAGCCAGACCAAAAGACAUGACCGUAUACUCAUACGAGCCAAAACUAGUCUUGAAUGCCAUCUUCGGAAUGUCUUCCUCGCGAAUGCGAAUCUGAUGAUAGCCCAUUCCGAGAUCAAGCUUGGAGAAUACUUUAGCACCUUUCAACUGUUCGAACAACUUAGUUAUGUUCGGAAGUGGAUAUUUGUUCUUGAUUGUCUUCUUGUUCAAUGGGCGGUAAUCGACACACAGCCGGUCCGAUCCAUCCUUCUUCUUGACAAAUAGAACACCACAUCCCCACGGAGACGAGCUUGGUUUGAUCAAACCCAAACGCUCCUGCUCAUCGAGUUGCCUCUUGAGUUCCUUCAAUUCUUCUCGACCCAGCUUGUACGGCCGUUUGCACACUGGCUCUGUGCCUGGCUCAAGCUCAAUGACAAACUCAACUUCACGGUGCGGAGGCAUGCCUGGCAGCUCUUCAGGAAACACAUCCUGAUAUUCACAGACUACUGGAACUUGAUCAAUAGGAUUGAUCUCACCCUUUUCAUUCAAGGAGAACAAACGGAUUGUAUCAUCGCGCACCGCGAAUAUAAUCACAUCCUCCGAAGAGUGGGUAAGCUUGACUUCUUUAGAUUCACAAUCAAUUGACGCCUUGUUCAUGGCCAACCAGUCCAUACCAAGAAUCAAGUCGAUGUCGGAAUUGCCCAAGACAAUAGGAGUAACCAGAAACGCAUAAGCACCCAUCUUGACAGAAACGUCCGGAACCACCAUGUGAGAAUUCAUGAUCUUACCCGGAGACACAAUUGAAAGAGGCUUAAGCAAAUCACGAGUAGGGAACCCAUGCUUAAAUGAGAAUGGCCUUGAGAUAAACGAAUGCGAUGCACCAGAAUCAAAUAACACUUUAGCAGGAAUAUCAUUGACGAGGAGGUUACCCAUGAUCACAUCAGAGGAGUUAUCUGGUUCAGCUGCAUUCACCAUGUUGACUCGAGCUGAUCUGGGGUUGAAUUUUACAAGAGCGUUGCUUGGAGGUUUGCCUGGAGGAGGAGGCGGCAGACGGAGCUGAGAAGUACAUUUGUUGGCAUAGUGACCCUUCUGCCCACAUUUGUGACAAGUGACAUCUACUGGCUGCCGGAACUGAGUCUGAGGAGGCCCUUGCUUCUGAUGUUGGUAUCUCUGUUGGAAGCCAGGGUUGGGUGGGUGGGAAGAACCACGUCCACCUGAGUGCUUCAGCUGCUGUGAGUGCCGAGGAGGAGGAGGAGAAAUCCAAAACCUCUGUUGCUUCUGAACCACCUGAGUCGAGGAAGAGCUGGAAUCUCUGAAGCGCUUCUUGGAGUUUUCCACCCUGAGCAAGGCUGCCUCUGCUCUGAGAGCUAAGUUGUAGAACUUGUCAAACUCCUCAGGACCGUGCAAAGCAAGCGCUAACUAUAAGUCCUCCUUCAAGCCACCCCUGAACUGAUAGAUCUUGCUCUUCUAAUCCGGGACAUGCUGCAGCGCGUAACGGGCCAGCUCGUGGAACUCGACAUUGUACUUGUACACAGAAUUGCUGCCCUGCUUCAAACGCCUGACCUUCUAUCGCAUCUCCUCCACAAAACUGGAAGGGAUGUAGUGGGACCUGAAGUCACGACAAAACUCGUCCCAAGACAUCACCCUGUCACCUCUGGAGUCCUUGAGCUGCUGGCACCAUAUAGAAGCCUGUCCCUUCAACUGAAACGUAGAAAACUUGACAUAGUCCUCCGGACACACAUUGCUACACUCGAAAUGCUUGCUCAUAUCACGGAUCCAAUCUUCCACAUCAAACGGCUGGUCGCAAGAAGUGGACGUCUUAGGCUGGUUUGACAGGAACUGACUCAGAUUGGCGAAGUGAUUGCCACCCUGCUGGAAAUUGCCCUGCUGAUGAUUGGCUCUCUCCUGGAUCAACUGCAACAACAUCUGAGUGUUUGCAUUAGUAGCUGCCAUCAUCGCCUGCCAGGCCUCUGCAGGAGGAGGAGGCGGCAGCGGAGGAGGAGGAGGUGGAGGCGGCAUAUCCUCACGCGCUGGGGUCUGACGAGUCGGUGGAGCCAUCCUGAAGACGGACAACAUAUUAGUCCACAGAAUAAUUGAAGAUAUUGCUGAAUCAAAAGACAGAAUAUCUGAACAGAAUUUAGCAUUGCACUCCAACAAUCAUAGCAAGAGUACAUCCUCAAAGUAACAGACGACAAAAUUCUGAUAAGGACCACUGCAAACAAGUGUGAGCUAGAACCGCUUGGAACAAACAUAUGAUCGAGAUUUCCCAAACCUCGGUCAAGUGUCUGUAGGAAGAUAGUCCUAUAAGAUACUACUAGAUAUCCCACCUAUGAAUUCCCGAAAUAACUGGUCAUGCAAUCAGGUGCACGGAUACAAGGAGUAUUUUACACAACUCCUAAACUAACCUGUCACCUGUAUCACAUCCUUCAACACACAACCAGCAUCUCGGACCUUCAUCUACAACAGAUCCUCGUGAUCACAACGAUACCAAGUGUGGUAGUACCCCCAAACAAUCUACACCAGUACUGGGGACAUCGGGGUUAUCUCACCACUACCCGUAUUGAAGCAAUAACGAACACCCUCCGUUCUUAGAUACUCAGAAAUCUGAAUGAUGGCGAUGUGCACGAUAAUCCCUGGAGCUCAACUCCCGUGAUACUUAGAGCAGAUAGGAGGCACCAGGACAAGAUUCCGUCACAUCGAAAUCAUAUAGAUUUCACAAAUACCCGGCUGACCCUAAAAAAAUAAUUGAGCGAGAAAAGGAGUAGAGUUAAAGAUUUCCUAAGACGGGAACCUCACCAGAGCAAAGAAGAGGAGAAAAAAGAAUCCUACUCUCCGAUAUAACUAAGACUCAGAACAUUUUCUAGACUCGACUCGGCCAAAUACGAUCACACAAAGGCUCCUAUGGUCGUUUGGCUUUGAUUACCAACUUGCAACGACCAAGAUGCGGUCCUUUCCGAUCUGGGGGUCGAGGCCCCCGAAUAGGAAAGAAGCGCAUCUAAGCGUUUCGCUAGCAAGUAACAUAGCACAAAUAAUAAUAAAAGUAGACAAUUCGGGAUUCAACUGUCUUCUCAUUAAUAACUCAGAGUACAUCACAGAUACGAACAAGGUAGUUCCGCUACGGACUACAAAACAUGAAAAUGCUAUGCUACCCUGCCUGCAAGCCCACGAUCACGACCACGCCUCAGUCCUCUAGAUAGUUCAUGUAGAGGCGGUCUGUCUCCUUGUCGUACUGCCACGCCAACUGGGUGCCGUCGGGAUCAUCUGUCUCUGGGGUACCUGUACCUGUUGGGAGUUUCGGAGGAAUCCGUGAGCCACGGGGACUCAGCAAUCUAAGACCUUGGUGCCAGAACUAGUCAUGUUAUUAGGUAGGGUAAGGGUGAAGUGUAUUCGGCUGCACCAUCCUAAGCUUGUUCUAGUGGCUAACUUACGCAAAGUAAUUGUGAAGGUGGUCUACACUAGCGGUCUGGAUUACUUGAUCACUAAGUGAUACUGAACACCUACCUACGGCAUUCAUAACCCCACCGUGUUCCCAAUCGAAGAGAGAUCUUCGAGGGGGACAGUCACGGUUACGCACACAGUUGGCAAUUUUAUUCGCUUAUGUUAAAGUUCUCUAAUACCGGAUGUUAACAAAAUAUUCCAAGUUGCCACAUAACCGCGGGCACGGCUUUCCGAUAGAUUAAACCCUGCAGGGGUGCUCCAACUAGUCCAUCACAAACGUACACAGGCCGCAAAGGCAUCCUCUAUCACGAAACUCGUGAUCUCGUUGGAUUCCUUAGAGGAAAACCUCAACUCUGGGGGAAACCGAAGCUUCACUGGGAUGCCUAUACGCAAGAUACACCGCUAAGGUAAGGCAAGGCUACAUUUGGGGCACUACAGAUCUCAUCCAACUCAUCACUGUCCAGCAAGCCUACGAUGAGAUUACUCACGAACGAUGAAGAGCAUCAUGGCAUUGUCGGUGGAGGAAGGUUGAUGAUGACGAUGGCGACGAUUUCCCCUCUCCGAAGCCCGAAACAGACUCCAGAUCUGCCCUCCAGAUGAAGAACAGGAGGUCGCGGCGCCUCCGUAUCAUAAAACGCGAUGAAACCUUCUCUCUGGUUUUUUUUUCGAGCGAGACGGAAGAUAUAGAGCUGAGUUUGGGGGCGGUGGUGCCACGUGGGCCCCACAAGCCCUCACGGCGCGGCCAGGGGGGUGGCCGCGGCCUGUGGGCUUGUGGCCCACUGGCACGCCCCCUCCGGUGGAUCUUUGCGCAGGUAUUUUUCUUUUAUUCCAGAAAAAAUCUCCGUAAAUUUUCAGGACAUUCCGAGAACUUUUAUUUCUGCACAAAAACAACACCAUGGCAAUUCUGCUGAAAACAGCGUUAGGCCGGGUUAGUUCCAUUCGAAUCAUGCAAAUUAGAGUCCAAAACAAGGGCAAAAGAGUUCGGAAAAGUAGAUACGACGAAGACGUAUCACUCCACAACAACAAAAGCUAUGGAGCAAUAUGAGAGGAAGAACAAGGAGCUCACAAAGAACUCCAAGAUCAAGAUCCAAGGGGUUCCCCUCACAUAGAGGAGAAAGUGACUGGUGGAUAUGUGGAUCUAGAUCUCCUCUCUCUUUUAUCUCAAGAACCAGGAAGAAUCAUUGGAGGGAAUGAGAGUUAGCAAGCUCUAAGAAGGUCAACAAUGGGGGGCAAACACGAGCUCAACAGAUAGAAAACCAUUGGGGAAGAAGACCCCUUUUUAUAAGGGGAAAGGAAUUUGUACGUUACCCACCCCCUCAGCUCGAGCCAGAGCGGUACUACUGCUCCUGGGAGCGGUACUACCGAUGAUAAGCGGUACUACCGAUGAUAAGCGGUAGUACCGCUCAGAGUGAGCGGUAGUACCGCUUAGGCAGGGGAGGCCAAACAGAGAGGAGGCACGACCGAUAGUAUCGCUCGGAGUGGUAGUAACAAGCGGUAGUACUGCCUGCAGGGCGGUACUACCGCCCAACACUACUGCAAAGUCCGACCCCUAAAGGGUUCGCACUUCUGAGCGGUUGUACAGGCCAGCGGUACCACCAGGAGCCCUACGGCUCUGAGCGGUACUAUCGCCGGCCCGGGGCGGUACUACCGGUUAUAAGCGGUAGUACCACUCCUAGGAAUGUUAAGAACAUGCAGUUAUGAAAAUGCCAAUGAUAUAGAGAUGAGAAACCUUUAUGAAUGAAGAACCGACAAAACCCAAACAUCAAAAACAUCAUAGAAGAUGCACAUGAACCUCAUAGGGAUUGUAACCAAUUACCAAAACCACAUACAGAGACACACUUAGCAAAAAAUGUUUGACAGGCAGGGCUGGGUGAAGUUUCCAUGAUAGAAAUCUUUCCAAUUGGGCAUCCAUGGGAAGCAAGCCCAUCGGCAACAACACACUCCAUAAUAAAUUUUUACUCGUUAGAGUCCGAGGGAGGUACAUAGGUAGAGACCGAAGCCUUGGUUUUACAAGCAUAUACACUACAUUUUUUCUGGGUGAAAUUAGCCUUGUCUAACUAAUCAAUGGCUGGGUCAACUUCAUUCAGAUCAUGUUUGUCCAUUCAUUUGGGAUCAUCUUCUUCAGUUCUACCAUGCCCUUCCUCUUUACCAUAUUCAUCUCAUCCUUCUUCAUUAGUUUCAAUGUUGAUCACAAAGUCAAUUCCCCCCAACCCGCUCAUAACCUUCCACAGUAAAACCAAGCAGGAAUACUUUCUUUUUCAUUUCAAUCAGACUUUCAAAAGGAAUCUUAGUAGGAUAUAUGCAAGCAAUCUUGAUUCUGACAUUCUCAAACAAAUUCAUAAAUAUCACAUUCCAAUCCACGUCACUAAGCACACCACACAUUGAAGCAACCCGAGAAAAAACUUUCCAUGUACACCACUUAGGAGGAACACCUUCAAUCUGUACCCAAGGUGGAAGGCAAGUACAAAGUCGGGAUCUUGCUCUGGUGGGAAGAUGGGAUCGAUCCCUUCUACAGAGGCCGGGCCUCUCUUAUAUACUGGCCUUGGUCCUCUUCCCCCGAAAACAUUGGCGGGAAGGUUUGCCACAACGACCAUUUUUGAAAGGGGACAGGACUGCAGUCCGCCCUGACACGGGUGGUCUUCUUCUUCUUCUUCUUCUACUCGUACCAAUCUGAGGUUUGAUACAAAGAUCGGAUACACGAGAUGAACUAGGGUUUGGAGAGGAGAUCAUGAUGAUGAAGAUGUUCAUGGAGAUUGACCCCCUCUCGAUGAGAGGAUAAUUGGUGUUAACGAUGGCUUUGAUUUCCCCCUCCGGGGGGAAGUUUCCCGGACAGAAUAGCUCUGCCAAAGCUCUAGAUAGGUUCUGCCAAAGUUCCGCCUCGAGAUGGGGGCGCUUCACCCCGAAAGUUCUGAUAUAUUUUUUCCACGUCAAAACCCUUCAUAUAGCAGAAGAUGGCACCGGAGGCCUACCAGGGGGCCCACAAGCCUGCAGGGCGCCCCUGGCUUGUGGCCACCUGGUGGGUCCCCUGAUGUAUUUCUCUCGCCCAAUGUUUUUUAUAUAUUCCAAAAUAAUUCUCCCUAAGUUUUCAGGACUUUUGGAGUUGUGCAGAAUAGAUCUCUCAGAUUUGCUCCUUUUCCGGUCCAUAAUUCUAGUUGUCGGCAUUCUCCCUCUUCAUGUAAACCUUGUAAAAUAAGAGAGAAAAGGCAUAAGUAUUAUACCAUAAUGUGUAUUACCAGCCCAUAAUGCAAUAAAUAUCGAUAUAAAAGCAUGAUGCAAAAUGGACGUAUUAACUCCCCCAAGCUUAGACCUCGCUUGUCCUCAAGCGAAAGCCGAGCUCGAUAAAUAUGCCCACAUGUUUAGAGAUAGAGGUGUCGAUAAAAUAAAAUACGUACAUGAAGGCAUCAUGGUUAUAUUUAGAACAACAACACAUAUUGACAUAGAAUAUCUUAUGCUAGAGUAACAAUUCAUUCACAAGGUAAAAUAUGAAUCAAGAACUCUAUUGAGAACUAACAAACUAUGAUUUCAGUCAUUGAAGCAAUUCCAAUUUAUCGCAAUGUAGGAAAGAGUCAAUAGAAGAGCUUGUAAAGCAAAUCCACAUAAUCAAUCAUCUUAUGGUAUUUCAUAAUUGCUAACACUCACGCGGUACCUAUGAGGUCAAAGCUUCAAUCGGACACAGAGAAAGAUAGGGGCUUAUAGUUUUGCCUCCCAACUAUUAACCUCAAGGGUAAUGUCAACAAUAAUAACUCAUGAUCACCCACAUCCGACUGUAUAUAUUUGUCUAGAUCAUUCCCCAACACAUGACGCUUGCCAAAAGAUAAAGGCGAAAUAAAGGAAAUGGUGAAGAUCACCACGACUCUUACAUAAAGGUAAGUACUAGAAAGUAAAGGUAACAGAUAGGCCCUUCGCAGAGGGAAGCAAAGGUUGACAUGCGCUUUUAUAGUUGGAUGCGCAAUCCCUUAAUGCAAAAGAACGUCAGUUUAUAUUGCCCCUUGUGAUAAAGAACUUUAUUAUGCAGUUUGUCGCUUUUAUUUCUUCCAUCUCACAAGUUUGUAUAAAGUUUAUUUUCCUCACACUAAUAGAUCACACAUAUUUAGAGAACAAUUUUUAUUGCUUGCACCGAUGACAACUUACUUGAAGGAUCUUACUCAAUCCAUAGGUAAGUAUGGUGGACUCUCAAGGAAAAACUAGGCUAAAUGUGUUUGCAUGCACAAGUAGCAUCUCUACUUGGUGUGGAAGUUUUUGGCUAAUAUGGGGUGGAAGCAGGCGACACAUGUUGAAGGAUCUAUAACCAUAUAACUUCUAUUCGGAAAUAAGCAAACAUAACUCAUUAUGUUGUCUUCCUUGUCCAAUAUCAACUUCUAAACAUAUAAUAUUUUAAUGAGUGCUCACAAUCAUAAACAAAGUCCAAGAUAAUAUAUUUAUAUGUGAACCUAUCUUUCUUUAUUACUUCAUUUUAAUUGCAGCAAUGGCCAAUAGCUUUGUUUGUCAACUCACAACAAAUUUCGAUCAACAUACUUUUUAUAUGUGAAGUCAUCACUCCCCAUAAGAUCAUUAUAUAUACUCUUUUUAUUUUAUUCUAUACUUGUUUAUAUUUCUAUUUCUCAAGAUCAUAGCAAGCAAUCAAAGCCCUCAACUCAAAACUACUCUUUAUUAUAUAACUCCCAGACUUUCUUACAUAGGGGGAACAUAAAGCAAAACUCAAAACUAGAUCACACUAAAACUUUAUUCUACUAGAUCAAGGUAUUACCAAAAAGAUCGAACGGAGAAAAAUGAAGAAAGUAAAAGAUGUGAUGGUGAUACGAUAUCGGCGAAACUCCCCAAGCUUGGCACCAGCCAAGGGAAGUGCCCUAUACCCAUGUGUUUAGUUGUCCUUCUUCAGAGGUGGUGAUGUUGGAGUUGUUGGUGGGGUUGGAAGCUUGUCCUCCAUCUUCCAAGGCAUGGGAUCACCAUUGUAAAAAGAUGAAUGAGUCUCUCGGAUCCUCAAAUCUGCAGCCAAACUCAUUCUCUUAAAUAUGUAUUCAUACUCACAGUUUUGGUUUUGCAGGUCAUAGAUCUGGGCUUGGAGAUGCUCAAUUUUCUCGUAAAGAUUGAAGACGUGAUCCCAGAUGCCCUUGGUGUCUAGCUUAUUCUUAUGGGUAAACUCCAUGAUCAUCAUGUGAUUGGCAUUGAGUCCUCGUUCACCAUCCCUUGGCACUUGAAGACUUGUUGAUCCAUUGCUUCAAGCCUUGUCUCCACGCUUCCGGUCUUCUUUGGCCCCUCAACAUCACGGAUGUGCAGCACCCCCUCAUGCAUCUCAAUGGUUUGAGGGUGUUGCAGUACCUCCGCAAGGUAGGGGUAGAUGACCCUCUUGAAUAACUUGUCCUUCAAAGCGCUUGAAGACGUCAUGUUGAUCUAAAUCUAUUGUAGAAACAACUCAAAACAAAAACAAAAGAUAUUGUCGUGAUACGAAGGUCAAAACUUUCGGAAGAUUAUAUAAUGAAUUUUUACCGACCCGAAGGAGUAUUCCACAAGAAAACGGAGUCCGUAGGGUACACGGGGUGGCCACAAGCCUGCAAGGCGUGCCCAGGGGGUAGGGCGCGCCCCCUGACUUGUCGCCUCCUCGUGCACUUUUCGGGCUGCUUUGAAUUUUCCUAAUUUUUUGAAUAUUCCGAAACUGAUAAAAAUUGCCAUUGGAAAAGUUUUGGAGUCGGUUUGCUUACCGUAACACAUACCUAUUACUUUUUGGAGUCUAAAACUUUCUUAUAGGCCUCCCUAAUGUACUCUUCCGGAGUUAUGGUAUUAACAAUAUUUGUUUCAACAUUUAUGGGAGUACCUGAGAUAUAAUGUUUGAUUCUUUGCCCAUUUACCACCUUCGGAUUUAUGCCUUCGGCGUUGUUGAUCUUGAUGGCACCGGAACGAUAUACUUCCUCGAUAAUGUAAGGCCCUUCCCAUUUAGAGAGAAGUUUUCCUGCAAAAAAUCUUAAACGAGAGUUGUAUAUCAAGACAUGAUCACCUACAUUGAAUUCACACUUUUGUAUCCUUCUAUCAUGCCAUCUCUUAACCUUUUCUUUAGACAACUUAGCAUUCUCAUAGGCUUGGGUUCUCCAUUCAUCAAGCGAGCUAAUGUCAAAUAACCUCUUCUCACCAGCAAGUUUGAAAUCAUAGUUAAGCUCUUUAAUUGCCCAAUAAGCUUUAUGUUCUAGCUAUAGAGGUAAGUGACAUGCUUUACCCUAAACCAUUUUAUACGGAGACAUACCCAUAGGGUUUUUUUAAGCGGUUCUAUAAGCCCAUAAUGCAUCGUCAAGUUUCUUAGACCAAUUCUUUCUAGAUCUAUUAAUGGUCUUUUGCAAGAUCAAUUUAAUUUCUCUAUUCUCAGUUAUACUUGACCACUAGACCGAGGAUGAUAAGGAGAGGAAAUUCUAUGAUUAACAUCAUACCUAGCAAGAAAUUUAUGGGAAGCACCAUCAAUAAAGUUUGAACCACCACCAGUCAUUAAAUAUCCAGGGACUCCAAAUCUAGGGAAAAUAACUUCUUUCAGCAUUUUAAUAGAAGUGUUAUGAUCAGCAUUACUAGUUGGAAUAGCUUCUACCCACUUAGUAACAUAAUCAACAGCAACUAGAAUAUGAGUAUACCCAUUGGACUUUGGAAAAGGUCUCAUAUAAUCAAAACCCCAAACAUCAAAUGGUUCAAUAACAAGAGAAUAAUUCAUAGGCAUUUCCCGACGUCUACUAAUAUUACCAAUUCUUUGACAUUCAUCACAAGACAAGACAAACUUACGAGCAUCCUUGAAGAGAGUAGGCCAAUAAAAACCAGAUUGUAAUACCUUGUGUGCAGUUCUAUCUCCAGCGUGGUGUCCUCCGUAGGCCUCGGAGUGAUACUUGUAUAGGAUAUGUCCCUGUUCAUGCUCAAGUACACAACGUCUAAUAAUACCAUCUACUCCUUCUUUAUAAAGGUGUGGAUUGUCCCAAAAGUAAUGUCUUAAAUCAUAGAAGAACUUUUUCUUUUGUUGGUAUGUGAAACUAGGCGGUAUAAAUUUAGCAACAAUGUAGUUAGCAUAAUCAGCAUACCAAGGAGCACUGCGCGAAGCAUUUAUGACAACUAAUUGUUCAUCAGGAAAGCUAUCAUCAAUAGGUAGUGGGUCAACAAGAACAUUCUCUAGUCCAGACAAGUUAUCUGCUACGGGGUAAUCAGCACUCUUUCUAUCAAUAAUAUGCAGAUCAAAUUCUUGUAGCAGAAGAACCCAUCUAAUAAGUCUAGAUUUAUCAUCUUUCUUUUCCAUAAGGUAUUUAAUAGCAGCAUGAUCAGUGUGAACAGUUACUUUGGAACCAACAAUAUAAUGUCUAAACUUAUCACAAGCAAACAAUUGCUAAAAAUUCAUUUUCAGUGGUAGCGUAGUUUCUUUGAGCACUGUCUAGAGUUUUACUAGCGUAUUGGAUGACAUUUAAUUUCUUAUCAACUCUUUUCCCUAGAACAGCACCAACAACAUAAUCACUGGCAUCACACAUAAUUUCAAAGGGUAGGUUCCAAUCAGGUGGUUGAACAAUAGGUGCAGUGAUCAAGGCUCUCUUAAGAAUUUCAAAUGCUUAUACACAAUCAUCACCAAAAAUGAAUGGAACAUCCUUUUGCAAAAGAUUAAUGAGAGGCUUAGAAAUCUUAGAGAAGUCUUUAAUAAACCUCCUAUAGAAACCAGCAUGACCAAGGAAACUUCUUAUACCUUUGAUAUAUGUUGGACACGACACUUUUUCAAUAGCAUCAACUUUAGCUUUGUCAACUUCAAUACCUCUUUCAAAGAUUUUGUGUCCCAAUACAAUGCCUUCAUUAACCAUAAAGUGACACUUCUCCCAAUUCAAGACAAGAUUAGUUUCUUCACAUCUCUGCAGAACUCGAUCAAGGUUGCUCAAGCAAUCAUCAAAAGAAAUUCCGUAAACGGAAAAAUCAUCCAUGAAAACCUCAACAAUCUUUUCACAAAAGUCAGAGAAUAUAGCCACCAUACAUCUUUGGAAGGUAGCAGGUGCAUUGCAUAAACCAAAAGGCAUACAUCUAUAAGCAAAGGUACCGAAAGGGCAAGUAAAAGUGGUCUUCUCGUGAUCCUCUUUUCACACAGGUAUUUGAGAGAAACCAUAAUAACCGUCUAGAAAGCAAAAAAUGUGUAUGUUUGGAUAGUUUUUCUAGCAUUUGAUCAAUAAAAGGUAGGUGGUAAUGAUCUUUCCUAGUAGCUUUAUUUAAUUUCCUAAAAUCAAUUACCAUUCUAUAUCCUGGAACAAUUCUUUGUGGGAUCAAUUCAUUUUUAUCAUUAGGAACAACGGUAAUACCUCCGUUUUUAGGGACACAGUGAACGGGACUAACCCAUCUACUAUCAGCAAUAGGAUAAAUUAUACCUGCCUCUAGAAGCUUUAGUAGUUCAUUUCUUACCACUUCCUUCAUUUUAGGAUUUAAUCGUCGUUGGUGAUCAACAACUGGUUUAGCAUCAGGCUCCAUAUUGAUUUUGUGAUAACUAAUGCCCUUAAGAUCAUGAAGAGUAUAUCCAAUAGCGACACGGUGCUUCCUCAAAGUUUUCAAUAAUCUCUUUUCUUCAUGCUCUGAAAUUUUACCACUAAUAAUAACAUGAUAUAUCUCCUUUUCAUCAAGAUAAGCAUACUUCAGAGUAUCAGGUAAUUGUUUAAGCUCAAACAUGGAAUCACCCUUGGGUGGAGGAGGAUCCCCACGUAUUUCAACAGGCAGGUUGUGUUUCAAAAUAGGCUGUUGAUCAAAGAAAAUCUUAUCUAUUUCAUUCCUUUCAUUCAUAUGCAUAUCAUUUUCAUGGUCUAGCAAAUAUUGUUCUAAGGGAUCAGUAGGAGGCACAACGAUAGAAGCGAGACCAAUAAUUUCAUCUUUACUAGGCAAUUCCUUGUCAUGGGGUUGUCUACGAAAUUUAGAGAAACUGAACUCAUGAGACACAUCCCCAAAACUUACAAUAACUGUUUCUUUCUCACAACCAAUAUUAGCAUUAACAGUAUUCAAGAAGGGUCUACCGAAUAUAAUGGGACAAAAAUCAUCUUGUGGGGAACCAAGAACAAGAAAAUUAUUAGGAUACUUUAUUUUCCCACACAAGACUUCAACAUCUCUAACAAUCCCAACUGGUGCAAUAGUAUCUCUAUUAGCAAGCUUGAUGAUAACAUCAAUUUCUUCUAAUCCAGCUGGUGCAAUAUCAUUCAUAAUUUCUUGGUAUAAGGUAAAGUGAAUUACACUAACACUAGCACCCACAUCAGGCACGCCAACAAUAGGUCUAUGUUUACUUUUAACAUAAACAACAGGCACGCCAACAAUAGGUCUAUGUUUACUUUUAGUACCAGGUCUAGCAAUUCUAGCACCUUCAUCACAAAAAUGAAUGACAUGCAAUAUUAGGUUCAAAUUUAAUUUGUUCAGGAGGUAUAGGUGUUCUAGUACAACUCUUACGAACCACAAUUGAAGCUUUAGCAUGUUCCUUUAUUCUAACAGGAAAGGAUGGUUUCUCAAUAUAAGCAGUAGGAAUAACAGGAUAAACAUUAUAAAUAAUAGUUUCUUCUUCAACUUUAAUAGGUUCAACUACUUUAACUUCAAUGGGAGGAUGAUAUUUAAACCACUUCUCCUUGGGGAGAUCAACAUGAGUAGCAAAAGAUUCACAGAAUGAAUCUACUACCUCAGAGUCAAGUCCAUAUUUAGUGCUAAAAUCACGAAAAGAAUCGGUGUCUAUAAAUGAUUUAACACAAUCAAACGUAAGGCUUGUACCUGACUCAUUACCUUCGUCGAGUUCCUAAUAUUCAGAGUUGCAUUUAAUUCUUUCCAAUAAUUCCCAUUUGAAUUCAAUAUCUUUCUUCAUAAAGGAACUAUCACAAGAAGUAUCGAGCAUGGAAUGAUCAUUACGAGAGAGCCGAGCAUAAAAAUUCUGAAUAAUAAUUUCUCUCGGGAGCUCAUGAAUGGGCCAUUAAUAUAACAUUGACUUAAGCCUCCCACAAGCUUGAGCUAUUCUUUCUCCUUCACGAGGCCAAAGAUUAUAAAUAUAAUUCCGAUCACGAUGAACCAGGUGCAUAGGAUAAAACUUCUGAUGAAAUUCCAAUUUCAGUCGGUUGCAGUUCCAUGAUCCAAUAUCAUCACAUAGACUAUACCACGUCAACGCCUUCUCCUUCAAAUAUAAAGGAAAGACCUUCUUCUUGACAUCAUCCUCGGGCAGAUCUGCAAGCUUAAAUAAUCCACAAACUUCAUCCACAUAGAUUAGAUGCAAAUCAGGAUGUAGUGUUCCAUCUCCUGCAUAAGGAUUAGCUAGCAGUUUUUCUAUCAUACCCGAAGGAAUUUCAUAAUUAAUAUUUUCAGUAGGUGUAGCAGGUUGAGGAUCAUCUCUUUGUGCUUCCGCUCGGGGUGAAGAUACCCCAAACAAGCCCCUCAAAGGAUUACUUUCCAUAGUGACAAGUGACAGUAAAUUUCAGCACAGCAUAUAAAUUUUUCCUUACCAAGUUCCACUCACCAAAGGCGCUUCACUCCCCGGCAACGAGGCCAGAAAAGAGUCUUGAUAACCCACAAGUAUAGGGGAUCUAUCGUAGUCCUUUCGAUAAGUAAGAGUGUCGAACCCAACGAGGAGCAGAAGGAAAUGACAAGCGAUUUUUAGUAAGGUAUUCUCUACAAACAUUGAAAUUAUCGGUAACAGAUAGUUUUUUGAUAAGGUAAUUCAUAACGAGUAGCAAGUAACAAAUGUAACAAAGGUGCAGCAAGGUGGCCCAAUCCUUUUUGUAGCAAAGGACAAGCCUGGACAAACUCUUAUAUAAAGCAAAGCGCUCCCGAGGACACAUGGGAAUUUCUGUCAAGCUAGUUUUCAUCAUGCUCAUAUGAUUCGCGUUCGUUACUUUGAUAAUUUGGUAUGUGGGUGGACCGGUGCUUAGGUGUUGCCCUUACUUGGACAAACCUUCCACUUUUGAUUAACCUCUUUCGCAAGCAUCUGCAACUACGAAAGAAGAAUUAAAAUAAAUCUAACCAUAGCAUGAAACAUAUGGUUCCAAAUCAGCCCCUUACGAAGCAACGCACAAACUAGGGUUUAAGAUUCUGUCACUCUAGCAACCCAUCAUCUACUUAUUACUUCCCCAUGCCUUCCCCUAGGCCCAAAUAAUGGUGAAGUGUCAUGUAGUCGACGUUCACAUGACACCACUAGAGGAGAGACAACAUACAUCUCAUCAAAAUAUCGAACAAAUACCAAAUUCACAUGAUUACUUAUAGCAAGACUUAUCACAUGUCCUCAGGAACAAACGUAAUUACUCACAAAGCAUAUUCAUGUUCAUAAUCAGAGGAGUAUUAAUAAUCAUUAAGGAUCUGAACAUAUGAUCUUCCACCAAGUAAACAAACUAGCAUCAACUACAAGGAGUAAUCAACACUACUAGCAACCCCCAGGUACCAAUCUGAGGUUUGAGACAAAAAUAGGAUACAAGAGAUGAACUAGGGUUUGGAGACGAGAUCGUGUUGAUGUAGAUGUUCAUGGAGAUUGACCCCCUCUCGAUGAGAGGAUCGUUGGUGAUGACGAUGGCUUUGAUUUCCCCCUUUAGGAGGGAAGUUUCCCCGGCAGAAUAGCUCCGUCAGAGCUCUAGAUUGGUUCUGUCGAAGUUCUGCCUCGAGACGGCGAUGCUUCGCCCCGAAAGUUCUGAUAUAUUUUUUCCAGGUCAAAACCCUUCAUAUAGCAGAAGAUGGGCAUUAGAGGCCUACCACGAGGCCCACAAGCCUGCAGGGCGUGCCUAGGGGGGUAGGGCGCGCCCCUGGCUUGUGGCCACCUAGUGGGUCCAUUGAUGUAUUUCUUUCGCCCAAUAUUUUUUAUAUAUUCCAAAAUAAUUCUUCGCAAGUUUUCAGGACUUUUGGAGUUGUGCAGAAUAGGUCUCUCAGAUUUGCUCCUUUUCGGUCCAGAAUUCCAGCUGUCGGCGUUCUCCCUCUUCAUGUAUACCUUUUAAGAGAGAAAAGGCAUAAGCAAGCAUUGUACCAUCAUGUGUUUUAACAGCCCAUAAUGCAAUAAAUAUCGAUAUAAAAUCAUGAUGCAAAAUGGACGUAUGAGGAGGCUGGACACCGGGGCGACGGGCGCGGUGGGGCGGCGGGGGUGGUGGUAAGGGGCGCUGAUGGUCAUUGGGGGAGAGAGACACAGAGAGAGGGAGAGAGGGGGGAGCGGGGGGCGUUAAGUAUUUAGGAACUUUGCCAUAUGGUAGCAGACGACAAAGAGCGUGACAACAGACGACAAAGAUUACACGGACGGCAUCCAUGCUGUCCGUUUGACCUAAACCAUCCACACUCCUUGUCGUCUCUUCUAGCAGACGGCAAAAAAGAGCCAAUGGCAACUAGUAUCUUUGCCAUCCGUCCUCUUUUUGCCGUCAGCUUUUGAACAGCUCAUGGCAAAGGCCAUAUUUGUCGUCCGCUAGCCGACGACAAAGAGUAAACAUAUGGCAAAUUCUGUAAUUUAUGUAGUGCGCUCUUACCUUGUCUAUGUGUGUGUGAGGGGGAGGGGAUAAGAGCAUUUGCAAUAAUUGAUAAAACAAUCUUUUUAUGCAUUCAUUUAGAGACACAAGACAGAAUGCCAUAGAAUAUAUUUUCUAAUAGCAUUGCCUUCAAAUUUAUGUUUGGACUGGACCCGUGACAUUACGAAAUGAUUGAAAUUAGACCGAGUAAGUGGUAUACAAUAGGAAAAUGCCAUUGUCACUAAUAAUAGAUAGAAAAUGAGAUCUAUGAAAACUAGUAUCCAAGAUAUAUUUUUAUAAAAGUCGAACUCCGGUCUGCAAGGUAACACCACUAUGUCCUUUUCACUGGGCUAGUGCCCCAGUCCUGUCACUAAUAAUAGUUCAUAUAUUCAUUCUCGAGUAAUCGAGUUAAGUGAAGGCAAACCAGUUUUUUCAUUUCUUUUUCUUUGGACCGAGCAAUCGUCCUAGCUAUCUGGUGAGAUAGCUGGGUUCCAUAAGUGCCCACGUGUAAAUUGCAAAAGAAUUUCCAACAACAGUAGUACUGCCUUCGUCCAAGUGUAUAGGACAUGCGCGUCGUUCUAGGUUGUUAAUUUAACUAGCUAAAUAUAUAUUAUAUAUGAUAAAAAUUACAUAUUCAGAAACUACUUCUCCGCAUGAAUCUAAUGAUAUAUUAUCUAUUACAUAUAAUACAUAUUUAAAUAAUUAAAUUAACAACGCCCAUGCCCUAUACACCUAGUACAGUCUACGCCCGGCAGCACCCGGGAAUCCCCCACCCAUAAAACGAGCCAUCCACGACGGCCGUGGACUCCAGUUCCACGGCGCCUACAAUAGUCUCGCCUGUCUCCUCCCCUGCCCCCUCUCUCUCUCUCUCUGCUGCCGCUGCUACCAGCACCAGCACGAGAGAGGCCUCGCAGCCGCAGGGACCGGAGGUCGGAGGACAGGGAGAGGAACGCCGUGCCCGUGUGGGAGGUGAAGGAGGAGCGAGGCUGCGCCCCCUUCCCCGCCUUCUUCUCGCAGGGAGGGACUUCGCGGCGCAGUUACGAGGUUCGUUCUCUUCUUUUUCUUCCUCAGAUUCUUCCAUCUGGUUUUACCUUCGGUCUGCCAGGUCUGGUUCGAUUGCUCCACACAUUUCCAUCGGUCCAUCACCCCCUCCGGAUCCUGUCCCAGAGCGUCCCAAAACAUUUUACCUUUGAAAUCCCAGUCUACCUGCAACAUCGUUGUCGCCCUACUUACUUACCGGUAGCUUUGUCCACACUCUUGCCCAUCAGCAUCGGGUGCAAGCAAGUAUCUGCUUCAUCUCCCUCACAAAAAAAAAGUAUCUGCUCCACCUCCCAAUUUUCAGUUGGCAUGUUGUGGCUGCAAAAUAGUACUAGCAUGGCGUAAUUAUCGGUGCUGUCGACUUCAUUCACGGCCGUGGUCCCUGGGAGACGAGCAAGAUAUGUUGAGUGUGUGUCACCAGUUUUUUUAAAAAUGGCUUGGUUUGAUCGCUCCGAGUCCAGAUAGAUCUGUUUGCCUGUGCAAAGGAGGGGUUGGUGCACGGCUGCAUGUGACUGUCAUCACAUCUGGCCAAUUGGCCCGGCCAUCAGCUCGCCUUCCAUUAGAAAAAUCAUGCAAGGACGAGUCAUACUACUAUAUGUUUUCUGAUCAAUUGGCCAUCGGCAUCAUGUACGAUCUGGCUUUUGGGUUGUCGUUAGCCAUAAUCACUAGAUGCUGACCGCCGCUCCAUUUUUCUUUGUUAAUUAGGAUACAGAGCUCUGGAAAAUUUCCUGAUGGUGAUGUGAGAAGUCUUUGCUGAUUAUCCUGUGAGAGAUAUGACCAACUCUGGAGGCGUCUUCUGUGUGGUUGUGCUGGUUCUGAUGCUCCCCUGCUUGGAUGUUGCACUGGGGCAAAGUACUGACCCUUCCGAAGGUAAUCAGUUGUUGCAGUGCAUACUUCAUAAUCUGUUGCUUCUGCCAUUCUGAAAAAAGAAAAGGAAAAAAAAACGAGUUCUCUAAUCGAUUGAUCUCUCAUGCUAGCUACCUGCAUCUGUCCCCAUAAAUAUUUGAUGUUCAGUGGCGACAGUAUUUUCUUACGGUGUUGUAUUGUGUUUCUUAUUUUGCAACCUUUCACGCAAACUGAAUGUUCUGUUUUGCAUAAUGCAGUCGAUGCGCUCGGGGCUAUCAAGGGAAGCUUACUUGAUCCUAUGAACAACCUUGACAACUGGAACAGGGGGGAUCCAUGCACAUCAAAUUGGACAGGAGUUUUCUGCCACGUAAUCAGUGAUGCGCUUCAUGUGACAGAAUUGUAUGAUCAGUACUUCUAUCUAAUCUAUUCACCACAUCUAAGCUUAGGUUUAUUCAUUCUAUGAGCGCUGGUUCGGUUAUCAUAGUUUUUAAAAUGAGCGUAAUGUGUAACCUGUCAUGUUGAGCAUAUUUCUUUUCAACGCAGACAGUUAUUUAAGAGGAACCUGUCUGGAACUUUGGCACCAGAGGUCAGUCUUUUAUCUCAGCUGAAAACACUGUAAGUAUUACUCUGAUGUGUCAAGUUACUGAUUUACUUAAGUUCUUCUGCAGUAGUUAAAUAUUAGACUUGCUACACUUCAGAAUUAUCAAUGCAUACAAAUUUAUCAUAGCGUAGUAGCAAUUUGAUUCAAAGGCUUAAAUUAUCCCAUACUAUGGAACUGCUGGAGAGAGUAACCAGUCAGUAAAACCUUGAUCCUAUCCCGAUGUUGAUUGCUUGUCUCAUGCUUAUAGUAGCUGUCAUGUUUACUCUGAAGCUAUUCUAUCCUAUACUAAAUAAUUCUUAUUUUUCAUGAAGGGAUUUUAUGUGGAACAGUUUAACAGGCAGCAUCCCAAAAGAGAUAGGAAACAUCACUACACUCAAACUUAUGUAGGUGAUUUCUGUUGACUUCCCCCUUCGAUAUGCAAAGAAAUCAAUGGAACCUUUUAUAAGACAUUUUAGAUCGUCUUAUAAAAGUUUACAGAGUACAUAAUUUGUCUGUUCCUUUGCUGCUAAACCUAUGCAUGAUCUUUUUGGCGCAGAAGUACUUACACAAUAGAUACUGUGUACAUAAAACAACACUGGCUUUUGCAGAAACAUCCCUGUAUGUUUCUAUCAAACUAUGUUAAUUGUUAAGUUUUAUGGCUUUUGCAGACUAUUGAAUGGCAAUCAGCUCUCUGGUUUUCUACCAGAUGAGAUUGGCAACCUUCAGAACUUGAACAGGUUACAAAUUGACCAAAACCAAAUACAGGGACCGAUACCGAAGUCAUUUGCCAACUUAAGAAAUGUGAAACAUCUGUAAGAAAUGUUCAUUUCCAUUUUCCCUAUGCUUUGCUAAUUGAUGUUCAAUGUGAACUUAGCUCUAACCUCUGUUUUCCAUUCAUUUCAGCCACAUGAACAAUAAUUCAUUAAGUGGGAAAAUUCCAUCUGAAUUGUGGAGAAUCCCAUUACUUCUUCACCUGUAUGUGGAAGUCAAUUUCUUUCCCAAAAUUUUCUCCUUGUAAAAUUUUAGUAGGAAUUAUGGAUCUGAUAUUUGUUUUCCGAUGUAACCAACACUUGCACAUUUGCAGCCUUGUUGACAACAACAAUUUGUCUGGACCUCUUCCUACAGAAUUAGCAAAGGCGCCUGCUUUGAAAAUAUUGUAUGUGCCCCCAUUAGCACAUUCUGAGUAGAAAUUUUUCUCAUAAAAAGAAAAAGAAAAAACACAUGUUUCUUAUAUUCAUAUGUUUCUAUUUCUAGUCAGGCUGACAACAAUAACUUCAGUGGAAGUUCCAUUCCUGCUACAUACAGCAACAUAAAAACACUGUUAAAGCUGUGAGUAUGAUCUUUUCUUUCUCUAUCCUUACACGUUUGUCUUUUUCCUCCUUAUUUUAUACAAUUUUAAAUAUCUUCAUAUAAUGAUUUAGUUCCAGUUUUAUUAAGCAACAUCUCAACAUGCCAAUGUCUAAUAUCCGUAAUUCUUACACUUACACUGAGUUCGGGGAACUGAGGAGAACUUUUCUUGUGUUAUCAGGAGUGUUAGAAACUGCAACUUGCAGGGUGCUAUUCCUGAUCUGAGUGCCAUAUCUGAACUUGGCUAUUUGUGAGUGCACUACCCUGCUAAAAGCACACGUCAUAGUUAUUUUCCAAUCAUUGUCUUUUGAUGUUAUGGCUUGCACUUGGAACGUGGCAUACCUUACACUCCUUGUUGCUGAUGAUUUAUGUUUGAGAUAGCAGUUUGACAAUCCAUUUUAGUUCCUUCAUUUCAGGAAAUAACUCCACAGGUGUCUAAACUUCUAUUACUGGCAUGCAUUUUCAGGGAUCUUAGCUGGAACAAACUGGCAGGACCAAUACCAACUAAUAAGCUCGCGUCAAAUAUCACUACUCUGUAUGUACCUCUGAUAAUUUUUGUCUACUUUCUUUAGUCACUCGACUAAUUUCUGUUUUCUGGCAGUGAUUUGUCGCACAACAUGCUUAAUGGAACUGUCCCAUUAAACUUCUCAGGGCUUCCUAAUCUUCAGCUUUUGUAAGUAUACCAUUUAGGCUAUGUUUGGCAUUGCGCUGCAUUAUCAUACUGUUUGCCCAACCCACUUGUACCAACUGUAGUGUCUGUUUGAACCACUCUUGCAUAUAUUUUUGGAUAAUUUCCCACAAAAUAUUAUAAAAUAAGCACGGCAAAACACAGUUCAGCAACCGCACUUGGCACCGACAGCUAGGGUUAUCGAGCGCAGGGGCUUUCCGCGGCUGGGUUCUCGACGAGCAGCACGUAUCCCUAGUCUCGCGACAGGGAGCAUGUCGGGGCAGGGCGGUCCGCUGGAUGGGGUACCGCCGGCCAAGGCGCCUGCAGCUAAGCCGAUCGCGGGCCAACCGCAGGCCAACUCCAAGACGCAGCAGGCUAUGCAGCCGGGGAAGGCGUCUGGCCAGGGGAAUCGUCCUCCGGCUCAGGUGACGAGGUCGCUGGGUAAUCCACAACCGGCUGCUGGGUCCGUUAGAGAGGAUGCUAAUCGCAUGCAGCCGCGAGGUCGUUGGGGAGACGAUGGUGUCAACGCAUACGGUCAAGGGCAGCAUCGUGGUUCAUCUUCAGCCGGUGGCGGUCGGGGUUAUGCGUGGCAGGGACCUCCUGGGAAGUUUAUGCCAGGUGUUGCAGGUCCAGCGCAUCCCAAGAGAGGAGGGUAUAGGCAGUUUUGGGGCGCUCGUGGCGGUGGCAGGAAGCCGAGACCUCCACUGCCACCAACGGAGGACCUUGUGCCUCGGGAGAGUGCUGGGCAGGCUCAAGGGCAGUCCAUGGUUCCUCCUCUUGAGCAGCUGCCGACUAAUGGUGCUGCUAAGGAGGUGGCUGAUCAGGAGGUGGUCAAGGGCAAUGCCAAUGUCAAGUUGGAUGGGAGUGACAGACCAUCUAAGUGGGCGCGCAAAAAGGAAAAGAUGACUUGUUACCGAUGUGGUGAGAAUGGCCACUUCGUGUCUGAGUGUACGGCGGAAUUAUGUGAGUUUUGUCUCAAACCCGUUCACGGUUCACUUCAGUGUCCUCUCACAGUUGGACAAAUGCCUACGGUAGCUAUUUAUGGGGCGUGUUGUCAGGAGCUCAUGUUUUUUGAGUCCACGUCUGUGACCACUGCGGUACAUGCACCGGAUGUGGCCUUGACUGGUAUGGUUACUGUCGCCAGCGGAACCAUGACUGCGGACCAAGUGGUGCAGCAAUUGAGAGAUCUGGUUUCUGCAUCUUUUCGUUGGGAUCCUAUUGCGGUUGCUGAUAAUGUGUUCAAGGUGGUUUUCCCCUCCAAGGAAGAUUUAGCACGGUUGCUGAAAUUUGGUAUGUGUAGAGUGCCUAGCACGUCCUGCAUCUUAGAGUUUGAUUCUUGAAGGAGUGACGAGCCUCAAGGGGUUCCUCUUCAUCAGAUUUGGGUGAGAUUUUCGGGAGCCCGUCUAAGGCUGUUAACGAUUUUCAUGUUGCUUGGAGCCUUGGAUCUUUGAUAGGAAAGACUGAGAAGGUUGACAUGGUGUUUUCUCGAGCCAAAGGAGUUGCACGGAUGCUGGUCAGUGUGAUGGAUAUUGGGCUCGUACCGGAUGAGGUUGUCUGGGUCUAUGCAGGUAUGAGGUAUACCCUUCGCAUAGAGAUUGAGAGUCCACCUAUGUUUGAUGAGGAGGUCAAAGAUCAAGAUGAAGAUAUGUUUGAUGGGGACGAUGAGUCCCGUGCUAAAGAAUCUGAAAAGAAGGGCAUGCCGUCUAAUCUUUCUGCUUUGCCGAAGACUCCUAAGUUAUCCACUGGAGGGGGGGCUGAUAUCGCGGCACCGGUGACACAGUUGCGUUUUGGCUCGGUGGAGCCGGCUUCGGCCCCAGCCAGGUUGGCUACUGGGGCGAAGGAGGCCGAACGGGCAGGACAGGUUCAUUUGUCUAUUCCAGGGAAGCAAACUUCUUGUGCGGCGUUGCAGCCUUCUUCGCCGGUGGUUGGGCUGCCGGCGGUCUCUUUGGACCAAUACCUGGCUAAGGUUAAGGGAGAGUCUGUUUUGCAGCCGCAGGAUAGGCCAAGUGAGGGAGCACCGCAUUGCUUGCCGACUGAUGCGGUGGCGGACGUUGAGGUCUUUUCUCCAGUAGGGCAUACCGAUCAAGAGGGUGGCAUCCAGGGAGUAAAUGCACGUUCGGUUGAGGAGGUCAUAGCAUUUGGUGGUAUACCAGAUCCGCUGACAUCAGGGAGGAGAUCCAGCCAGCGGAUUCAGGACCAGCCAGAUGUGGAUGAUAUGCAGUUGGGGCGGGCCAUGCGGGCUGCAAAGAUGAAGGAUGCGGAACUUUCGACAGGUUAUCUUCACGGCUACCGCACUGAUCCGCACGUGGUCAUUACUCACUCAUGUGGCAGACAGGGAGCUUUUGGAUACUGGGUGUGUCCGAUGGGAGAUGGUAGCACAGGGUAUCUUCAACCGGUUUGGAUGGCGUCAUAUUAAUAGAAUAGGUGUUUAGUCAUCUAGAUCUUUCAGUCAUCCCUGGUUUGGGCGAGUGUGGCGCCUUGUAUCUUUUUGUUUUUUGGCCAUAUGGCUCUAUUUUGACUUGUACUAUGCCGGAUUUUGGCCUUUUUUAAUAUAUGGCUGUAUGCAUCACUCGAUGCAGAGGCCGGGGCUAAGCCUCCUUUUCGGAAAAAAACUGAGCCUUAGUUUCCUAUUAGUUUCGGCAGGUUACAAGCAAUACUUACUUUUCUUUAGAUUGAUACAAAAUCACCUUGUAUGGUAGUUUGUUUUUUAUCAUAAUUGCAAAUACGGACAUGCGUAAAUAGUUUCUGUGUAAUCAUAUAAUCUUUAUGCUUUAUUUUUCUAGAUGUGCAUAUGACAAGUUCAUUCGACAGGUCAGUUGAAAACAACCAUCUAGAUGGUGCUGUUCCCUCAACAAUAUGGAAUGACAUCAUUCUUACUGGAAAUCGAAGCCUUGUUCUGUAAGAACCCUUUUGCAGAUAAUUUUCCUGAUAGUAUCAACUAUAUAUAUUUAAUGCAUUUUUUGAUCAUGCAGGGACCUCCAAAAUAAUUCCCUCAAGACCAUUCCGGCUACGUUUAAUCCUCCGCAAAAUGUUACUGUAAUGUACGUUCUCAUACAUAUGAUAUGCAUUGAAAAUCUGCAUUCGCACAUAACAUAUCCAUAUUAUCUGUUCAAAUGCAUCCUGUGAACAUGCAAAUAUUUUGUAGCUGAUCUCUGUUUUGGUUGUCAGCACCAUCUCUUUACUGUCUGAAUUUGAGAAUAAAUAUAAGUAACUAGAAAUUGAUUUUGCAUCGCAUACUUGUAUCUCUUGUAAUAAAAUAUAAUGUACUAGUAAUGGAUAGUAAUCACUACUGUUGUCAUUUUGUGCAGGUUGUAUGGAAACCCUGUCUGUGGGAAUUCCAGUGGAGCUCCGGUAGACAGCCUCUGUCAACCCCAGUCUGUAAACCAGCAAAACUCUAAACCGCAACAAGGCUCUAGCCUAAUUUGUUCACCUUGCCCAUCGGAUAAAAAUUACGAGUACAACCCAUCAUCCCCUAUAUCGUGUUUUUGUGCCGUGCCACUUGGAGUUGGACUUCGACUGAAGAGUCCAGGAAUCACAGACUUCAAUCCUUAUGAAGCUGACUUCGGCAUCAGCACAACAUCUUUGCUGAAACUGUAUGUUUACCAGCUACACGUUGAGCACUACAUAUGGGAGGUGGGUCCAAGGCUCAACAUGCACUUGAAGUUAUUCCCAAGCAAUACAAGUUUGUUCAAUAUGUCUGAGGUUGUGCGGCUCAGACACGUAUUCGCUGGAUGGGAAAUUACGCUUCCAGAUAUCUUUGGUCCAUAUGAGCUUCUCAACUUCACACUUGGUUCCUAUGCAGAUGG
rnacentral:lncRNA from 1 species